rnacentral:lncRNA from 1 species
UUUUUUUUUAUUUUUUUAUUUUCUGUUUUUUGCACAGGUUACAAAAUGUAUAAUUUGACAAAAUAUAAACAGCACACAUCAACAAUAGAUUCAUCAAAUACAAUAGAAGAUUAGUCUUUGAAUACAAUUCAUCAUAUUAGUCUCCGAAUACAAUUCAUCAUAUUAGUCUCCGAAUUAAAAAGACCGAACAAAGAUAGAACAUUAUAUUACAAGUCUCGAGACCGCGAGUAGCGAGUUUGUCUUCGCAUUACAAGUCGAUAUCGAUCAUCUAAACUACCAUCACAUAGAAGAGAGCUGCGGUCAUCACGAUGAGCAUCAUCACGAUGAAACUCGUCUUCAUCCGGUUCCUCCAACGCUCCCUCCCCUCUCCCGCUAGAUAGCGGGCGUAUCUAGAUUCGGCCUCGGCCCUAGUGGUGUACCCUUUGUAACUGUUACCGCUGAAUCGGUGAACCUGUCUCCGACACUCCUCCCAGUCAUCGUAGACUCCGGGAACCUUACCCUUGUACACGAUAUACGUCGGCAUCGCUAUGCACUAGCCAAACGAAACGUUAGUACCAAUUCACAGACAAUACAUAAGCAAUAUAUAAUUAUGCAACAGAACGAUCGGAAGAGAAAAGCAAGACAUUAAUAGCAUCGAUUACAUCUAAGUUGAACGACUCUCGAAACCAAAGAGACAUACUACAAGUUCAUUAAAGUUUAAUUACAACAUGAGCCAAUCGAUGUUUCAGAACUAGACAACUCGACUCAAGGGACCGGAGCGUGGAUGAAGCCGCCGUCUAUCGUGGGAGUCAUGAAAGAACGGGCGUUGUCAUCCUGCAUUUGUAGCAUUGUGUCGAUGUCACUGUUGGACGGUUGAUUUCUGAGGUAGAACUGCCCCGAGGUACGAAGGACAUCUUGAUGGAUGAUUUCCGCAAACUCCGACUGGAUGCGAAAGAAUUCUUGUCGGAGGUCCGCGUCCUGGAUUGCUGACACGCUCGCGGCCCAAUCUUGGAGUUUACUCGGUAGCAGAAGUUGAUGAUGGUCCCGUACGAUCGCCCGCAUGUGAUGGAUGGCAUAGUAGGCACCCUUCUGACCGCCAGGCGGCUGCUUGACGCAGCAGAACGUCAUAUUGUGGGAGAACACGUGCUUGCCGUACUUACGAAUAGGCCUGGUGAAGGUGCCUCCAGAUUGGGCGUAGCCGGGGAGAACAUCAUCAAGAACCUUCUUGACAUUUGUGUAGUCUACGUUCGACUGACGGUCCGGGUCGAAAUACGUGGCCAUGGAAUAUUUGGGGCUUAGGAGGAUGAGCGUGCAACGUGUGUCACUGCAGAAAACACGGAAUGUUAAAAGAAAAACGAUCGAAAAGUAAGAAUUCAUAUGUUACGGGCCGGUUGAGGGGAGGACUUACUCGGGAAAGUAAGGCACGAGGAAGUUAUCCUUAUCUUGGUUUGCCAGAAUGACGCCUUUGAGGUAAGAACUCGCGACUUGCCGGUCCCCAGCGCUGCCCAAGAUCUUGGCACGCAUGUAGAAGGGGUCGACUAUCACGAUGUCCGGGGUCUUGUCGCGAAUGAUCCGCAUCUCCAUACUCAGCGAAAAUAGCCGAACGAAGGUGUAGUGCAGCGGAUGAAGGUUAAACAUAGCAAAGAUGUCAUCAAACCGCAGGACGAUCGUACCCCCGAUGUCGCCAUCCACAAAGCCCUUGCCCUCUGGCACCUUGGCCACGAAAACCGGGUAUGCCACAUCCUUCUCUCUGAGACGCCGCUUCUCCAAAGAAAGAACACUAUCGUGCAGACUCCGCAUAGCACCGGUUGCAGCAUUGAGCAUAUUUGGUGGUAGCAUCGCCCUACCCGCCACAUGCACCCUCCUCGAGAUAUCCUGCGGUGAAGGUGGCCCGUCCUGAGCACGGAUCGUACUCGGUGCCGGCUGGCUCGCACCCUUCUUAGUCUUUCUUUUGCGUGCCUUCUUCUUCUCCUGUAAUGGGACCGAGUUCUGCUCACAGACCGCCUUCUUGAGUGUGUUGGGGCUGAUAAUAUUUCGCACCUCGCCUAUCUGAGGCUCGGUGAAGCCGGCAGCUGGAGGCGUCUCCUGAGAGCUGAAUGCCAGACGGCGCCUGUUGCAACUUGGCUUCUCCGCGGUACGAGCUAGAUCGCACACGUCUUUUGUUGGGUUUGGUUCUUGAGAAGGAGGCCCCAUGAAGUCGCCAUCGUACCCAUGCUCGGCAAAGUACUGAUCGACGUUGCCAAAUGUAUCAUCGUCGUCGUCGUCGUCGUUCUGAUCCUGUGCCAUAUGCAUGUUUGGAUCCAGUGGCAUAGGGAUGUCCGGCACCGUUACGGCGGUCUUGCCAUGGGGCCGACUUGGCGCCGGCACGACUGGCGGUGUUGUCUUUGGGGUGGUGUCCCCCGCCCCCAAACGAAUCUGGCUCUUUGGCCAAAGCAGGGGCCAGCUCAGGCAGGCGCUGAGGGUCAUCACGUCAUCAUCGUCGGCCCCGACGGGUCGAAUCGGAGGUAACAAGUCGUCGCAGCCUGGCAGCACCCGAACCAGUUGAACCCUAAACAAGUUGGGUGGCAUCUGGGUACCGUGGAACAAGGGGUUGCCCGGUUGAACGAUUUUGCCCUUGGCGACAUCGACCAACUCGUUGUUCACGAAGUGGAGGAGAGUGCACGGAACGUCGGCGGUGCCCUGCGAAAACAUGUAGGGCGUCAGGGAUGCCCAGUCAAAGGCAAGGAGAUGAAGUCCUCGGCCGAGAGAGGCUUAAUUAGUUACCGUGAUGAUGGCUUCAAGCUCGGCUAAUGUCGAGGCACCGCCAACGGCGGGCGUGCAGUUGACGGAGCGGCCGCUUGCUGAAGAGGUGCCGGCCGGCGUACACCCGGGUGCAUUAAGCUCCCGUGCCGGCGUCGGAGACACCAAUGCCGCCUCCUCCGGAGGCACCAAUGGCCCCGCCAUCGCAUUAUGCGAGUUGCUGGCCGUGAAGCUAGGAAUCGGGGGCGGCCCCUGUUGGCCGCCCGCAAUCCACGCACUCAACCCCGAGAUCAAGGUAGGCACAAGGGCGGUGAUCGUCGCUCCGAGUCGUUGUUCCACUUGCUCUUGGACAAUCUCCGGAAUCCGCGCCACCUGUGCCUUGAGUUCUUGAACCUCUCGCGCCUGGCUUUCCGAGCUGGUCUUUUUCUCCUUCCGCACACCAGCGGUAUAGUAUGACCCCCAUUUUGUCGACAAGCCUUUGCCGGCCACACGACCAGCUGACGUCGGCUUACUGAGCUUAUCCUUGUUCUUCAUUAUAUUCAACCCCCUAUUUAGAGUGGUGUCCCAAGGGUUGCUCUGAGUCGACCCCACGCUACUGCUUUCAGUCGCCUGCGGAAGGAAUGUGAACCAUUUAGAAAUUCGGCUUCAUUAAUUAGAAUGCAACCAUAUGGAGCUAAUUACGCGGGGGUGUAUUCCUUACCAGAACAAGCUCAAGCUGCCUGGUCUUCGGAUCCGUGGUAAGCUCCUUUGUUUUCGGGUCCUUCUUGUACCGGGCCCUGACAAAGUUCCUGGUCUGCUUGUCACCGUAUUUAUCGAAGAGGGGCGGUAGGCCUUGCUCGGCACGGUCCGCCUCCUCCUUGUCCCAUAUAGGCUCCGCCACUCUGUAACCGCCGGGACCGAGUGUGUGUUCCCCUAUGUUCAGCUCCCGCAUUUGUUUCCCCCACUCACUUGAUUGGGAGCUUGCGGUGCUCGAGCAAUUGAUCUUGAAGUCGUUGUAGUCAUCUUCGGUGAUCGAAGGAUUUUUCUCCUUGAUCUUCUCAUAACUCUCACCUUUCUCGAUCAUUCUCUUCACAUUGCUUUUCCAAGUAGACAGGGCCUUGCUUAUCUUCGUGAGGGCAGCAUUGUUCACUUUAUUCCCUUUGAGGCUUGUGUUUUCGAAUUCAGCGGGGAACUUGUAUCGUUCGUGCAGCUUCGUGAAGAGGAGGUGGCGCAAAUUCCCCCGGUCAGGAUGCCUCAGGUUCUCGGUGUUGAUCGAGACGGUGCUCCGGACAAUGCACCCGAGCUGAAGCGAGUACCCCUUGACUAUUUGUUCGGGCGCCGUUGGAUUCCCGUUGGAGUCCACUUCAGUAACUUCCUCCUUGAGGGUGCGGAGCACGAUCGGGCGCCGGUCCUUCCGUUGCCUCUUCGGCUGGCUGCUAUCUGUGCGUGCGCCGCCAUCAUCAGUGGUGGCAUCCUUGGCGGCACCAUCAGUGGUGGCAUCAGUGUGGUCAUCCUCGGCGGCACCAUCCGUGGUCUCAGGAUCGGUGGGGAAGGCGGCGGCCUCAUACAAGUGAGGUUGUUCCUCCAUCUCCUGGGACAGCUCCCAGAAUGCCUUGCCGCCCGAACCCCCGGCCUCAUCGUUGUGGGCCAUGUUUCUCUCUAAAUAGAAACAAAGUUUGAUCAAAAAGUUGGUUAUUGUCAAGGAACAAGAUCAUGGUCUCAUCAUUUAGGGUUUGUCGACACCGAGGCAUCCUAAAAUCUAAGCUUUUAUCAUUGAGGGUUUUUCGAUGCCAAGGCACCCUAAAAGCCUAACUUUUCAUCAUUUCGGUUUUUAUCGACACCGAGGCACCCUAAAAGCCAUGCAUUAGUCACAAGUACGCCGGGGCACUUGAUCCUACUUAAUUAACUACUAAGAUACCCCGGCCCAUGCAUUAGUCACAAGUACCCCAUAUGUCCUAUUUUUAGCAAAGUCAUGCUAAAAUUCACGAAAAAUUUCAGCAUGACCUUUGCUGAAAAUAGGACAUAUGGAGUACCCGAAUUUGCUGGAACGGAAGUUAAUCGACAUUCCAGCAAACUCAAGGGCCUCUCGGGUGGACAAGGCAAAAAAGGCCUCCAUCACAACAUGGAAAAUACAUUGGCAUGUGGACUGGAAUAUGGCUUCAUUUAACAACAACAGUUUCACACAGAAAACAGAGCUGAAUUCAUUGAGAUAUUUGCAUUGCUAGCUACAUUUCAGUGCCAAAUUUCGCCAAUUUAAGCAAAACUACCGUUUAGCUAGCUACAGUUCAGUGCCAUAUUUCACUGGAUUAAAAUAAGCACAUACACAUAACUGACAGCACACAUACACAUCACUGAUUUAACAAAAUUUGCACACAACUCAGUAGCACUUCAUCAUCAUAUAAAGUAUAUUAGCAGCAGUACAAAUAAAGAGACAUGACCAAAGUACUUCAUAAUAAACCCAAGCAACUUCAUAAUAAAUCACUAGUCCUACUUAUUGAUGGUUUCUAAAUCAUUUAUUUGAUCGAUAACAAAUAGCCUUGUCCUGCACAAAAUCUUUGUCCUCAGUUGUAAACUGAACUAUUGUCAGGUCAUGUUGUCAGGUCAUGUUGAAAGUAAAAUAGGACCUUGCUGUGUUUGGGACCAAAUAGGUCAUGUUGUCAGGUUUUGUUAUAGGCGAUCCGUAGUUAGCGUAGCUAUUGUGCAUCAAGAUUCGUUUUUAGUCCUAAGAAAACACAAGGUUGUCAGGGACGGUUUUUCUUUGACUGGGGUUGUUGUCGACCUAAAUUAAAGAUGCAGUGUUUGGCAGAUCCAGUCUGCAAACUUUGUCCUACUUACUGGAUCAACAAUGUUCUUAAUUCCAUUACCUAGUGUACAUACCAACAGCCAUAAACAAAAGAGCAACUAAUGACUGAGCCAACCAAGAGCCACAGACGAAACCAGCACAUGCUUGCACAUGCACUGAAGCUACAACUCUUAUCAAGGUAAAAAUAAAAGAGAAAAUUGCUUAUUCUCUCACAGAUGUUGGUUUGCCGAUCUGCAUCAGUAAAUGCGUUCUUUUUCAUCCGAGGAAAAUAAGCAAAAGAUUGUACUAGACAGCUAAUCGACAGUGUUCUUAAUUCCACUAGCAUAUGUGUAGUUCUAACUUCAUGCACUAAUAGUUCGCCUGCAGAGAGCUUCCUAACCAGGUUCGGUGUGUUUUACUAUUUGAUCCGUUAGGUAGCUAUUAUGCAUCAAGAUUCGUCUGAAAUCCUAAGAAAACACAAUAAGGUUUUCUUUGGCUGGGGUUGUUGCCGAUCUGAAUUAAGGAUGGAGUGUUUGGCAGAUCCAGUCUGCAAAAUUUAUCUUACUUACUAGGACAGCUGACCAAUAUUGUUCUUAACUCCACUUCCUACUGUACACAGUAGCAGCCAUGAAGUGCAUCAGUAGCAACGAGCACAGGCGCAACACAGGAUAGAGCGCAGCCAUGAAGUCAAGUUAACAAUAUCUGCCAAAACCUAAUACAAAUGAAUCAUAUGAAUAAAAAUGAUUGAUGCAGAAUCCAAAAUGGCAACUGGCAUACAUCGCUGGAACCAAUUGUGCAUAUAUGGUAAUUAUGAGUUUUACUUUGUAGAUAAUUAGAUACUGAAUUAGAGUUGCGUUUAUCUCCAAAUACAGCAGCUAUAUUCAUUAAGUUUCCAUCUAUCUAAUGGGGGAUCUUCCUCUUGUUCUCAUUAUUUCUCAUUCUUGUACACUAUUCUUCCCUUUUUUGUUUGAAGAAAAGAGAUCCCUACAUACUCAUGGCAAUGAAACUUAUCACAGAACAUGAUCAUUAGCAGUUACAUUGGACGAACUCUUGCCCCUCUAGGUUCCAUCUUUUCGAAAAUAGAACAACACAAAAUGCACCAACCUGUGGUGACAAGCCAAGGUUCAGAGCAAUAUAUAGGCCACUAAAAUCAGUCUAAACGUGACAAGCGAAGGGAAAUUAACAUAGUACGGAGUGGUUAAACUGUCACCGGUGCGCAAAAUAGAGCAAAGAUAGAUUCUUCUAAAGUAAGAGAUAAAUCCAACAGUUUGUUUGCUUCCUGUUAGCGCAACGUCAGGUCAAUAUUAGCUCUAUGUUCAUGAUAAUUUCAGCUGUCUAUAGAGAUGGUUUGGGAAUUUCAACUAGGUUGCUAUAUUUGACCAAAUUAUACAGUGACAUUUGUCUGACUGCCAACAAACAUGAAAAACCAACAACAUAGAUCCGAGGUGGGGCAAAAUGGCAACUGGUGGUGGUGGUGCUGGUGACAAGAAGAAAUAGAGAUGGGGCUCACGNNNNNNNNNNGGCGGCGUCGCGGCGUCGGGGCGGCGUCGAGGCGGCGGGGCAGCGGCGUCGGGAGAGGAGAGGAGAGGGGAAGGGGAUCGAGGGCGAGGGCGAGAAGGGGAUCGAGGGCCGGGGAGGAAAAAUAUGGAUGGGGGCACAAUACUAAUGGCGCACCACCCCCCGGUGCACCAUAAGUAUAUCCACACUAAUGGCGCACCUCACCCUGGUGCGCCAUUAGUAUUUUUUUUUGAUUUCUGCUCGAGCCAACAGGUUAUCUCCCACCUGACCUGAUCCACACCAAGUCCCCUCUACUAGCUCGACUGGUCAGUAGCCAGUUCUCACACCAGGAGGUCCUGGGUUCGACUCCCAGGCUCCACAAAUUUUUUUUAUCAUUUAAAAAGCUGUUUGAUACUUAUUUAUGUUUAAAUAUGUUCAAACUUGUUUAAAUAAUAACAGUAAUAUUUUUUUAUAAGACAGUAGCAUUUAAAAAGUUGUUUGAUACUUAUUUUUUUAUAAGACGGUGCGCGGGGUGCGGGGGGUCGGCAGCGGCGGUUGGGUAGGGGAAUCGAGGGUGCGGUGGGUCGUCGGCGGCGGCCGGUGGACUUGGGGGGUGCUCGGCGCCGAGGGGGACCAGAUCUGGCGAGGUGGGAUAGCGGUCGAGAUGGAGGGGGAUCGAGGUGGGCUCCACAAUUUUUUUUUUAGCAUUUAAAAAGUUGUUUGAUACUUAUUUGUGUUUAAAUAUNNNNNNNNNNNNNNNNNNNNNNNNNNNNNNNNNNNNNNNNNNNNNNNNNNNNNNNNNNNNNNNNNNNNNNNNNNNNNNNNNNNNNNNNNNNNNNNNNNNNNNNNNNNNNNNNNNNNNNNNNNNNNNNNNNNNNNNNNNNNNNNNNNNNNNNNNNNNNNNNNNNNNNNNNNNNNNNNNNNNNNNNNNNNNNNNNNNNNNNNNNNNNNNNNNNNNNNNNNNNNNNNNNNNNNNNNNNNNNNNNNNNNNNNNNNNNNNNNNNNNNNNNNNNNNNNNNNNNNNNNNNNNNNNNNNNNNNNNNNNNNNNNNNNNNNNNNNNNNNNNNNNNNNNNNNNNNNNNNNNNNNNNNNNNNNNNNNNNNNNNNNNNNNNNNNNNNNNNNNNNNNNNNNNNNNNNNNNNNNNNNNNNNNNNNNNNNNNNNNNNNNNNNNNNNNNNNNNNNNNNNNNNNNNNNNNNNNNNNNNNNNNNNNNNNNNNNNNNNNNNNNNNNNNNNNNNNNNNNNNNNNNNNNNNNNNNNNNNNNNNNNNNNNNNNNNNNNNNNNNNNNNNNNNNNNNNNNNNNNNNNNNNNNNNNNNNNNNNNNNNNNNNNNNNNNNNNNNNNNNNNNNNNNNNNNNNNNNNNNNNNNNNNNNNNNNNNNNNNNNNNNNNNNNNNNNNNNNNNNNNNNNNNNNNNNNNNNNNNNNNNNNNNNNNNNNNNNNNNNNNNNNNNNNNNNNNNNNNNNNNNNNNNNNNNNNNNNNNNNNNNNNNNNNNNNNNNNNNNNNNNNNNNNNNNNNNNNNNNNNNNNNNNNNNNNNNNNNNNNNNNNNNNNNNNNNNNNNNNNNNNNNNNNNNNNNNNNNNNNNNNNNNNNNNNNNNNNNNNNNNNNNNNNNNNNNNNNNNNNNNNNNNNNNNNNNNNNNNNNNNNNNNNNNNNNNNNNNNNNNNNNNNNNNNNNNNNNNNNNNNNNNNNNNNNNNNNNNNNNNNNNNNNNNNNNNNNNNNNNNNNNNNNNNNNNNNNNNNNNNNNNNNNNNNNNNNNNNNNNNNNNNNNNNNNNNNNNNNNNNNNNNNNNNNNNNNNNNNNNNNNNNNNNNNNNNNNNNNNNNNNNNNNNNNNNNNNNNNNNNNNNNNNNNNNNNNNNNNNNNNNNNNNNNNNNNNNNNNNNNNNNNNNNNNNNNNNNNNNNNNNNNNNNNNNNNNNNNNNNNNNNNNNNNNNNNNNNNNNNNNNNNNNNNNNNNNNNNNNNNNNNNNNNNNNNNNNNNNNNNNNNNNNNNNNNNNNNNNNNNNNNNNNNNNNNNNNNNNNNNNNNNNNNNNNNNNNNNNNNNNNNNNNNNNNNNNNNNNNNNNNNNNNNNNNNNNNNNNNNNNNNNNNNNNNNNNNNNNNNNNNNNNNNNNNNNNNNNNNNNNNNNNNNNNNNNNNNNNNNNNNNNNNNNNNNNNNNNNNNNNNNNNNNNNNNNNNNNNNNNNNNNNNNNNNNNNNNNNNNNNNNNNNNNNNNNNNNNNNNNNNNNNNNNNNNNNNNNNNNNNNNNNNNNNNNNNNNNNNNNNNNNNNNNNNNNNNNNNNNNNNNNNNNNNNNNNNNNNNNNNNNNNNNNNNNNNNNNNNNNNNNNNNNNNNNNNNNNNNNNNNNNNNNNNNNNNNNNNNNNNNNNNNNNNNNNNNNNNNNNNNNNNNNNNNNNNNNNNNNNNNNNNNNNNNNNNNNNNNNNNNNNNNNNNNNNNNNNNNNNNNNNNNNNNNNNNNNNNNNNNNNNNNNNNNNNNNNNNNNNNNNNNNNNNNNNNNNNNNNNNNNNNNNNNNNNNNNNNNNNNNNNNNNNNNNNNNNNNNNNNNNNNNNNNNNNNNNNNNNNNNNNNNNNNNNNNNNNNNNNNNNNNNNNNNNNNNNNNACAGUCGUGAGACUUCAUCCCGCUGAACUUCUGCUUCGCUGGGUCUAGGUAUCUGCUUAUCUUCCCCGCGUAACCGUAAGGAAGUUUUACUCCUAGGAGGCAGGUGAAAAACUGCUCGAUCUCCUCCUGACUUAGAGUGAAGCACGCGGGAGGGUAGUCAUUUCCGGUCUUCUUGGCCUUUUUGCCUUUGCGACGACUUUCUGUGUCCUGCUUCGCCUCAUCAUCAUCAUCAUCAUCAUCAUCAUCAUCAUCAUCAUCAUCAUCAUCAUCAUAUAUAGCGUGAAGCUCCUGCCUGAUGCCCAUUGAUUUCAAGUCUGCCCUUGCUUUCGGCCCAUCUUUGGUCCUCUCUGGCAUGUUGAGCAGGGUACCAAGCAGACUCUCGCACACGUUCUUCGUGAUAUGCAUGACAUCAAGGCUGUGAGGCACACGGUGGAUCUUCCGGUACGGCAAGUCCCAGAAAAUAGACCUCGUUUUCCAUACCUUCAGCAGCGGCUCUGGCGCCUUUCGCUUCUUUCCCGGCUCUGGCGCCUUUUGCUUCUUUCCCGGCAGUGGACAGUCUUUCCAAUUUUUCAACAGCUUGUCUAUUUCCUCGCCGCUCCUCGUACACGGGCGUUUUCGGGGUUCGGUUUCACCAUCGAACAGAUCCUUGCGUUUCCUCCACGGGUCAUCGUCGCGAAGCCACCUUCGAUGUCCCAUGAACACGGUUUUCGAAGACCCGGGAUCUCUAUCUAGCUGGCGAUACGUUGUGUCAUCCAUGCACCUUACGCAUCCAGAAAAUCCGUGGACUACCUGCCCCGCAAGAUAUCCGUAACCGAGAUAGUCGUGCACCGUCGUGAGCAGUGCGGCUCUCAUAGGGAAAUAUUCUUUCUCUGCGGCGUCCCACGUAUUGGCUGGCGUUUUCCACAGCGUGUCAAGCUCCUCUUUCAGCAGCCCCAGAUACAGAUUGAUGUCGUUCCCUGGUUGUUUCGGCCCUUCAAUUAGCAUACUCAUGUGAAUGUACUUCCUCUUCAUGCACAACCAGGGGGGAAGGUUGUACAUCCACACAAACACAAGCCAGGUGCUAUGUGUGCUUCUCUGGCUGCCAAACGGAUUGACUCCAUCGGUGCUCACGCCCAGCACGAUGUUCCUUGGAUCGUUCCCAAAUUCUGGGUAUUCGAAGUUCAAUGCUUGCCACUGGCUCGCAUCCUUAGGGUGACUCAGCAUCUUGUCUUUUUUAUCUAUCUCCGGAUCAUUUGCGUCAUCUUCUCGCUUCUUCUCCUCCCUAUCCGCGUGCCAACGUAGGAGCUUUGCUACCUUAGGAUCCGCGAAAUACCGCUGCAGACGAGGAGUGAUCGGAAAGUACCACACCACUUUUCGAGGAGCUUUCUUCCUCUUCUUGUAUCGAGUGACACCGCACACCGGACAUAUUGUAGACUCCGCGUGCUCGUCCCGAUAAAUGAUGCAAUUGUUCAUGCACACAUGGUAUUUCACGUGCGGUAAAUCCAGAGGACACACGAUUUUCUUCGCCUCCUCCAAACUGGUCGGGCACUUGUUCCCCUUGGGAAGACAUUCGUGCCAGAAUGACAUGUUCUCGUCGAAGCAUGCGUCGGUCAUUUUGUGUUUUACCUUCAUCUCCAGGGCCAUGAGCGUUACUUUCAGGCGGGUAUCCUCGGGCCUGCAUCCUUCAUACAAUGGAGUAACUGCGUCUAACUCAAGUUGAUCCAUCUUGGCUUUCUCUCGGGCGGCAGCUCUUGCGUUAUCCGUCUGCUUGAGAAGCAGCUCUUGAAUAUGAGGGUCCUGCACCCAGCCCAUCGAUGGUCCAGCGUCGUCUGCUCCGCCGGCAUCAUCAUCUUCAUGAUCAUGCCCGUCGCCUGCUCCGGCAUCUUCCUCAUCAUCAUGUCCUGCAUCUUCUACAUGAUGACUGUGUACAGCAUCACAGUCGUGAUCAUCUCCUGGGGAUUCUUCGUCUUCUCGCCCGCCCGAGCCGCGGUGGUUGUCUUGCUGCCCUUCCUCAUUUCUUGCCCGGCCCGCAUGGACGACUUCGUAGUCAUCUUCAUCACCUUGCCACCGAUAGCCAUCCAUGAAACCACACAACAGCAGGUGGUCCCGCACCUGCCCGGAAUCCGGGUCCGCAAUAAGGCUCUUCAGCUUGCAUCUUCGACACGGACAUCUUAUCUCCAUCUCGUUCUUUUGAAGCAUCUCGGCCUUCGCGGACCUCAAAAACCUAUUCACGAUGCCUUCGGUCAUCGUGCGGACCAUGGUCGCCUGCGGGGUAGAGCAAAACGAUAUUUUAGAACCAAACAAAAAUUUGGCAUGACCUUCCCUAAAAAUAGGACCAAAAAGAAUGCUUAAUGCCAAAAUUCUCGCCGAAACGGAAAUGAAUCAACAUUCCGGUAAAAUAUUGGCAACUAUCGCAUAUCAAAUACCGGUACACCUCCAAACACAAACACAUAUGCAACACCACAAACAUAUGCAACACCACGAACAUACAUAGAUCUAGCUAGGCCGUAAAAAGUGCAUGUGCACAUUGUUGUAAGGAGAACAACCUAAAUAUAGCUUCCCCCCUUACUUACCUAUUAAAACAAGGUAAUUUAACCACUUAAUUUGAAUGAAUCUAUGGUGGAAAUGAGGUGAAAAAGAGGAGGCACCCGAGACAAGGAGGAGGUGGAGAGAAUGAAGUGGGGAGAAAGUGAGUGUGUGGGUAGGAGAGGCUGUCCCAAAUAUCUUGUUGUUGCCCACUUACUAAUGGCGCACCUCUUGCAUGGUGCGCCAUUAGUACUUACAACUACUAAUGGCGCACUUGGGCAGGAUGCGCCAUUAGUAUGUUUGGAUAGGCGCACUAGUUCAAAAAAAAAAUCCUAUACUAAUGGCGCACCCACUGCCUGGUGCGCCAUUAGUAGUUACAACUACUAAUGGCGCACUUGGGCAGGAUGCGCCAUUAGUAUGUUUGGAUAGGCGCACUAGUUCAAAAAAAAAUCUAUACUAAUGGCGCACCUGCUGCCUAGUGCGCCAUUAGUAGUUACAACUACUAAUGGCGCACUUUGCCGGGAUGCGCCAUUAGUAUGUUUGGACAGGCGCACUAGUUAAAAAAAUUGAUACUAAUGGCGCACCCGUAGCAUGGUGCGCCAUUAGUUGUUUAAACUCUAAUGACGCAUCAGAUUGUGGUGCGCCAUUAGUAUAUACUAAUGGCGCACCAUCUUUCUGGUGCGCCAUUAGUGUCAAUCCCAUCUAUAGCCAUUUUCCUAGUAGUGCUAGGACCGCCGCCAUUAAUCUGAAGCCUCGCAACCGCGAGACCACACUCAGCAGGAAGGACAACAACGGCGGGGUAGAUCAGUGCCCAACUCUAGGUCGUCGGCAUGGCCGAAGGCCACAGCUAGACCACCAUAGGCGGCCCUAGCUGGACCUGACACACCCAGAUCUAAGCCAAAAGGCAAGAUCGGGCAGCCAAGUCCAGAACGCCCCGAGCGGCUCCACGUCCUGGGAGCCUGGCGCCAGAUCGACCGGCUGCCGGCGACGCCCCACCACCACCACAUCGCCACUCCACCGGGCUCCAGCCUCAAGCCAUUUUGUCCGCCGCAUCUCCGCCGCACCAAACGCAAAGCGCCGGCGGACGAACACACCCUGACACCCAGCAGCAUCAAGCCCUCACCCGAAGAACCGACUCGCGCCAGCCCUUUGCGCAAGGGGACAAUCAAUACCCGCCGCCGCCGCCGCCGACCGGGGCUUUUCCCAGCCGCGCCCUGUGGCGGCGGCGGCGAGGGAGGAGGAGAGUAGGGAGGGGGACUUGGCGGCGGUGGGAUUAGGGCGCGUCUAUAUAUGGAUCAACUCGAAUUAUCAGCCUAUCAUAUGAUUGGAGGACAUGCGUCACAAUGUGGGGCUGAGGGCAUCAUGGUGUGACGUCCCACCUUUUCCUUCAGGUGACGAACUGUCUAUCUAUCUAUCGUGCUGUCCUGUUCUUUCUCUUUUUUUUUCUUUUUUUUUUGGAGGAUGCUGUCCUGUUUGACGCACAUGUAGUUUAGGAACUACCACCUUCACCAAGAAGCAAGUGCGUGAGAACUGAGAUUCAUACUCCCUCCGUUCCAUAAUAUAGUGCUUAUAGAUUUUUGCACAAGUCAAACAUUCCAAACUUUAACCAUAUUUAUAGAGAAAAGUAGGUACAUCUAGAAUAUCAAAUGCACAUCAUUGGAUACAUCGUGAAUUAUAUUUUCAGAAUGUACAUGUUUGGUAUUGUAGAUGUAGAUAGUUUUCUCUAUAUACUUGGUCAAAGUUGAUAAAGUUUGACUUUUACAAAAAUCUAUAGGCACUACAUUGUAGAAUGGAGGGAGUAUAACCAUAGCGUUUGCUUUGAAUUCACACUGGAAAUUAGCCAAGCGAGCUCGUAAAUGUAGAUGAGAGUAUGUCUCGAUUUUUCUUUUCUUUUCCUUCAAUGAAUUAAUAAACACGCGUAUAGCACGUCAUAUGGAUCUCUGGCAGCUACAUGGUCCGGCAGUUCCCGGGCUGUUCCUCGCAGACUACCAUGUGCGGCGCCUGGUACUGGUGGUGGUAGUAGCUGGGCGGGUAGUAGCACGGCGGCGGGUUCACGGGCACGGGCACGGCCGGCUUCGGGUCAUCCUUCUUCUUUUCAUCCGGCUUCUUCACCUCCUCCACCUUGAUGAUUUGGGCGUGUCCGAGCUUCUUGCGGAGGCAGCUGACGAGGCACACCGGGUCGACGCCGUCGCCGACCACCUCCAGCUGGUCCCUCGCGUCGCCGGUUAUGCCCAUGGACGUCACCCCGGCUGCUCUGGCGGCCAGCGUUAGUGCUUUGGACCGGCUCUUGUCGCACGACAUGCUCAAUUGGAUGACAAUCUUUUGCUGCAACAAGGAGAAAAGCCAUGGAUCAAUCUUCAGAGUAAUGUAUCGACUGCUGAAAAUUAAGACCCUAGACAAGGCAACAGGAGAGGUAAACAAAAAAUAGGAGCAGAAACUGAAUAGGGUUCCUUACCUUCAUUGCCUGCUUCUGGGUUGCUAGAAGCCUGUGAAGGAGAAGCAGGAACUCGAUGGCGAAUUGUUGGUGUUCGAGGCGAGGCUAGAAUGGUUUGGGUAGCUACUGAUCGAUUUUCCACAGAUGCAAGUGUCUUGCUUGUGAUGAUUUGGUGAAGGGGAUACCCCCCUUAUAUACACGCUAGAAAACUAGAGCUAUCAGUAUCAGGAGCAAUCCCAACGCACUAGCUCGCUAGUAGUAAGAAGAUUCGUAGCAGCUGCCGCAGUUGAGCUCCGACUGAGUAAACAACUGCCCAACUGGGCAAGUAGACAUGCAUGUAAACGCGUCCUCACCACAAAGGACUCGGCAGGCUACCCAUGGAGAGACAGUAGACAAUGACUUGUGACGAGAUCUGCCCAACUUUAUCAUCAGUUGGCCAUGUUGGAUGCUCCACUGAAGACGCGGCUGCGUACAUAAAUACGCAGACUGAAACGGGACAAAAAUGGCAUGGAUACACUAGCAGCUCAAGUUCAACCGAUCAUCGGUCCUCCAUCAGCUCAAUCAACAAUAAUUUUGUCUAGGAACACGCGGGAGGAGAGAGGGAUCACAAGGUCACACCCAACUUUUGCACAAUUGCACGCAAUUAAUAAGCUAUUCUUCACUAGUAUAGAGAACUAGGCUGUAGCCUAGUGGCAAGGGAGCGCAGUGGCAUCUCUAGCAACCAGGGUUCGAGCCAUAUCGGGGACGAAUUUCUGGUUUCUUACAAGGGAUGCUUCUCCUAUAUCAAUAAACCAUGGGUGCUAGUGCCCAUGAGUUUCAUCUUCUUUUUUUAAUUCUUCACUAGUAUAUGAUUGCAUAAUACAUGAUAAGUUGGUAUUUCAGAAUAUUUCAUUUCUUAUCUUGUAGUAUAACACAUAGGAACACAUUUUUUGUGUCCAACUGGGUUUGCUACCUAUGUAGACCGCACAUGCAUGAGCAGUUUUAACACGAUUCCUUUUACCUCUUCUUACCUCAUGAAAGGUAAGAAUAUAUAAUAAAUAUGAACCAUUGAUUUAAUUAAGUAGUGAGAACGAGUAAUUAGCCCGUGUUAAUUAAUUGUUCAAGCCCCUCACCGUCUCCCAGUUGCGCACUUAGGGCAUCUCCAAGGCGGACCUGCAAACCGAUCGCAUCCGUUCGGACCGCCGGAGCCAUCCAACGUGAUCCGCGGUGCGGUCAGGACACGAUUUCUUCCGCAAACCAGAGACAAAAGUGGGGGAAGUUUGCGUGAGUCCGGACACUCAAAAUGUACGAAUCCGACACCCCGGGCCCACCCAAAAGCCUUCCCGAACCCCGCGACUCCAUCCUCCUCAUUUUCUCUCCUUCCUUCUUUCUCUCUUGCGUUCGUUGCCGCUCCACCACCCCAGCCACCAUGCCACACCCCUGCCGGAACUCUGCGUCUCCUUCACUUCCGGCGCUCCAGCAGGGCUCUCCACCACUUCUACUCUGCCUCUGUUCAACCCAUGUCCUCUGACCGGUACCAUCCUCCACAUGACCGGCAACUGUUCGAUGAAUCGCUGGAGCUGAAAACAUUUAUCCUUUCUUAUUUCUAGCAAUGGAUUCUGAUUUGGAGUACAUAUACGAGCAGUAUGUUGAGUUGUCCGACGGCUCAUCGAACGAGGAGGAGUACUCCGAUGAGAUGGCGAUGAUGCAGACUGUCCUUGAAGACGCGGAGCGUGCGUAGGAGCAUGUUCUCAAUUCAAGGACUCAAUCAAAGAUCAUCGAGUGCUCAAGCGCAACAAGGCGUGCGGACAUUUGAUACUGAUGUCCGACUAUUUUGCCCCCGAUGAACUAUUCACUGACCAUUUUCGUCGGCACUUUCGGAUGUGCAAGAUUGUCUUUGAUUGUUUGUACCAUGGCUUCUGGUCCUACAAUGACUACUUCAUACUGAAGAAGGAUGUCAUGGGAACAAUUGGCUUCUCUGGUCACCAGAAGUGCACGGCCGCACUCCGGAUGCUUGCAUAUGGCAUGGCUACUGAUUCGUGGGACGAGUACCUACGGAUGUCUAAGAGCACAUGCGGAGAUGCCAUGGUCAGUUUUGCAACUGUCGUGGUCGAGAUGUUCGAAUCUCGAUACCUGAGAGAACUAACUGUGGCUGACACCGAGAGGCUCUUGGCAAUCUCAGAAGCAAGGGGGUGAUCAGGUUUGCUUAGAUCUCUUGACUGCAUGCGUUGGAAAUGGAAGAAUUACCCGAAGGCUUUACAAGGGCAAUAUGAGGAUCAUGUUAAGAAGCCCACCAUCAUUCUUGAAGCAGCUACAUCACAUGAUCUUUGGAUUUGGCACGCUUUGUUUGGCAUGCCCGAGUCUCACAGUGACAUCAAUGUGCUGCAACGAUCGUCGUUGUUUGCGAGGAUGACUGAAGGAAAAGCUCCUCCUUGCCACUAUACUAUCAAUGGACAUGAGUACGACAUGGGUUACUAUCUGUUUGACGGUAUCUAUCCUCCAUCGGCUACCUUUCUCAGCACCACCUCAAACCCAGUUGGUCGGAAAAAGGCUCACUUUACCCAAAGACAAGGAGCAGCUAGAAAGGAUGUUGAGAGGGCAUUUGGAGUUCUUUAGGCUUGUUUCGCAGUUGUUUGUGGACCUGCAAAACAAUGGGAUCCGGAGACCUUGUGGGAGGUGAUGACAUGUUGUGUGGUCAUGCACACAUGAUCGUCGAGGAUGAGGGUGACGAUGCUACUGAAGCUCUAGAAUUUGAGAAAAUGGGUGAUCCUAUCCAAAUUCUGGACUAGAAUCUAGCCACAUUUGAAGAGUUUAUUCAAAUGCAUCAGCAAAUUCAGCAUCAACCAACUCAUGGGCAGCUGAAGGAAGAUCUGAUUGACCAUCAGUGGGCCGUGAAAGGGGACAACAAUGUUGGGAUGUAAUACUUGAACAUUUUUAAAUUUAAACUAGUGAUGCAUUGAGAGGAUCGAGAAGUGGUGUCUAGAGGGGGGGGUUAGACACUAAGUGCUAAAAGUAGCAGUUUUUAGUUUCUCUAAGUUUAAGUGGAGUUUAGGCACAAAUUUAACAAACACAAUACAUAUCAAGCAAGCAUGCAAAGAGUAUAUGAGCAGCGGAAAGUAAAGCAUGCAACUUGCAAGAAUGUAAAGGGAAGGGUUUGGAGUGUUCAAACGCAAUUUGGAGACAUGGUGAUUUUUGAGCCGUGGUUCCGAUAGGUGGUGCUAUCGUACAUCCACGUUGAUGGAGACUUCAACCCACGAAGGGUAACGGCUGCGCGAGUCCAUGGAGGGCUCCAUCCAAGAAGGGUCCAUGAAGAAGCAACCUUGUCUAUCCCACCAUGGCCGUCGCCCACGAAGGACUUGCCUCACUAGCGGUAGAUCUUCAUGAAGUAGGCGAUCUCCUUGCCCUUACAAACUCCUUGGUUCAACACCACAAUCUUGUCGGAGGCUCCCAAGUGACACCUAGCCAAUCUAGGAGACACCACUCUCCAAGAAGUAACAAAUGGUGUGUUGAUGAUGAACUCCUUGCUCUUGUGCUUCAAAUGAUAGUCUCCCCAACACUCAACUCUCUCUCUCACAGGAUUUGGAUUUGGUGGAAAGAAGAUUUGAGUGGAAAGCAACUUGGGGAAGGCUAGAGAUCAAGAUUCAUAUGGUAGGAAUGGAAUAUCUUGGUCUCAACACAUGAGUAGGUACUUCUCUCUCAGAAAUGGUAUGUUGGAAGUGUAGGUUUGUUCCGAUGGCUCUCUCCACGAAUGAAGAGGAGGUGGAGGGGUAUAUAUAGCCUCCACACAAAAUCUAACCGUUACACACAAUUUACCAAUCUCGGUGGGUCCGAAUUGAGAAACUCGGUCUGACCAAUUCAGUAAAUAAUGUGACCGUUAGGGUUUUUGGUGGGACCGACAUGCAACUCGGUAGGACCGAUAUGGUUAGGGUUAGGGCAUAACGUAAUCUCGGUAAGACCGAUUACACAAACUCGGUGGAACCGAUUUUGGUAAUAAGCUAACCAUAGAGUUGGUCAGGUAAACUUGGUGUGACCGAUUCUCUCAUCUCGGUGGGACCAAAAUGUUACAAAAAGGAAACAGAGAGUUUACAUUGUAAUGUCGGUAGGACCGAUUACACAAACUCGGUGGGACCGAUUUUGGUAAUUGACAUACACAGAGAGAUUACAAUCCCAUCUCGGUGAGACCGAGAUCCCUAUCGGUGAGACCGAUUUGCCUAGGGUUUGUGGCAGUGGCAAUGACAUUUGAACUCGGUGGCGCCGGAUAGAAAGAAUCGGUGGGGCCGAGUUGGACUUUAGGUUUAGGUCAUAUGUGGAUGUGGGAAAGCAGUUGGGGUUUUUGGAGCAUAUCACUAAGAACUAUGAAGCAAGAACCUCAUUAAGCAACACCUCAUCCCUCCUUGAUAGUAUUGGCUUUUCCUAUAGACUCAAUGUGAUCUUGGAUCACUAAAAUAUAAAAUGUAGAGUCUUGAGCUUGAAGCUUGAGCCAAUCCUUUUAUCUUUAGCAUCUUGAAGGGGUUCCUCAUCCUUUAGUGCAUGCCACUUCAUUGUUGAACUUAUCUGAAAACAUACUAGGUAAAAGUGUUAGUCCAACAAUAGAUAUGUUGUCAUUAAUUACCAAAAUCACCCAGGGAGCACUUGUGCUUUCAAUCUCCCCUUUUUUGGUAAUUGAUGACAACAUACAUCAAAGCUUUAGAUAGAGGAUAUAAAGAAUAACAAGUAAAGCUUUGGAAAGACAUGUAACAAGCAUAGGCUCCCCCUACAUGUAUGCAAGCAUGUGAAUAUGGUAUAUAGGAGCAUGUGAAUGCAUAAGCAUGACAGAGUAGGCAAUGUGUUACAUGUAUCUUGGCUAUAUGCAUCAGAGCGAAGAAUUUUGGGAAAUGUACCUUCAUGCUCAUGAGUCCUUCUUGCAAACAGUAUGUACAUCAGCAAGAAUUCCUCAUACACGACUGUGAUGCAUAUACUCACCUUGUGGUCUUGAGUUGGCUUAGGGUGAAAUGAACCUGCGAAAAAGAGGUUAGAUAACACAGAUGCAUCUACUAGCCAGAGCAAACAAGAAGAAACCACGAUAAUACCAAGACCGUGAUGACAUGUAGAGAGUGAGUACCAGGUACCACAUUGGAUUAGACAUGUCCCCAAAGGUAAAGGUAUACAAUGAAUUUAAAGAUUUCCUUUCCCUUAUGUAUUGCUCCCCCCGAAUCUAGCAUGGGAUACAGGGAGACGAUAGGGAACAGAAAAUCAGAGCUCAAGGAAGUAAAUGAACAGAGCUAAUGCACGUAUGAACAUGUCUUUCCCCUCUAGAAGACAUGUAACAUCUCUCCUCUUGAACACCAAGCAUUUGGGAUCAUUGAAGAUUACCCUCCCCUUGAGUAUUCUCUCCCCCUAGAGAUAUGAACUCUCUCUAGAGAAAGUUUUGAUGUGAUCUCUCUCUCUCCCCCUUUGACAUCAAUUUCCUAGAAGGGGCUUCUGGAUUUGUUGUCACAUGGGUUUUGUCCUUGAGUCACAUGUCAAAGCAGCAAAAAGAAAAAAAUGUGAUGCUGGUAGAGGACAAGAUUCAUUGAGUGGAUCUAGAUCAAAAGAAUCACAGAAAUAAGUGGCAAGCUAUUUUUCUCUGUCGUAUUCUUCGGUAGCACCGAAAUGUUUCGGUGGGACCGAAAAUAAUAGGCCGGUGUGACCGAGUUCAUGACAGAGAAAACAUUUGUCACCGCUGCUCACUUAGACAAGUAAGAUCUCACAAGGAUUUGCAAUGAAGUGGAUGCAGGGAAUGCAAAACAGACAGUAAACGAGAAGAAACUUAACAGAAAUAUAGAUGAAGAAGUUUUUUUUGAAAGGGGAAACAAAUAUGCAUGAUACAAAUGCAAGAGCACAGAAAAGAACACGAGAGAACUUCAUCUAGAAUUGGUCGGCGACAAAGUCACCUAUGUUAGAGUAUAUUGACUUAGGAGUCAAGUGAGAUCACUUGAUCAUAGGUCAUACUCAUCAUCUAAGCUCAAAACGGGGUUACCAUUUUUCGUUUAAGCAUCUUGAUGUAUUCACAUCUUGCCGAGUUGCUUUGACUCAUGUCUUGGAGUAAAGCUUCUCUAAGAUGGAAUAAUAUACCUUGGGUGGUGGGUUUGAUCGUGAUCAUGUAGUUGAACUUGUGUGGGUUGCUCAAGGUUGAUGUAGCUCAUCAAGAGUUGGGAGCACCACUUGAAAUUUGAGUCCAUUCACCUACAUGGGUUAGUUUUAGCAAGGAGGAGCACUUGUGUAUCCAAAAUGACAAACAUGAAACUAAAUAAUAAAUUUGUCAAAGGAUAUGCUUGAAUGGAUUUUUGCUUCCUCGUUUUCAACCACCCUUAUGUAGAGACUUGGUGAUGUAGAGAUUGCUCAAGAUGUGAGUGAGUUACAAUCCCAUAGAUUUAGAUCCAUCCAAGUUCCUACAAGGGUUAGAUGACAUGCAAGAUGCAAAUAUAUCCAAGAUGUAAGAUUAUCAUCAUAAGACAAAUAUCAAGGAUUAAUCAUAGGCUCAUGUCUUGCAUGUAUCAAGUGGAGAUUCUACUCCAAGUUUGAAGCAUCAAUGAUGUUCAAUUCACCUCUCAACCUGUAAAACACUUUCUCAUCAAGAGGUUUAGUGAAAAUAUCCGCUAAUUUUUUCGGUGCGAACAUGCUUAAGAUUAAUGUCCCCUUUGGCAACAUGAUCUUGAAUGAAAUGAUGACGAACUUCAAUAUGCUUAGUUCGAGAAUGUUGCAUGGGAUUGUGAGCAAUCUUGAUAGCACUUUCAUUGUCGCAGAGUAAUGGAACAUGUUUCACAUAUAUCCCAUAAUCUUUAAGAGUUUGGGUCAUCCAAAGAAAUUGAGCACAACAUGAACCAGCGGCAAUGUAUCCCGCUUCGGCAGUGGAUAAGGAUACUGAGUUUUGUUUCUUGGAAGACCAAGACACAAGAGAUCUACCAAGGAAUUGACAAGUACCCGAAGUGGACUUUCUAUCAACCUUGUCACCGGCAUAGUCCGAGUCGGAGUAGCCAACAAAAUUGAAAGAGGCCCUCUUAGGAUACCAAAUACCAAAAUUUGGUGUAUGAAUUAAAUAUCUCACUAUCCUUUUCAUGGCCUUAAGAUGACAUUCUUUCGGUGCAGCUUGAUAUCGUGCACACAUGCACACACUUAGCAUAAUAUCGAGACGUGAAGCACAUAGGUAUAACAAUGAACCAAUAAUAGAGCGAUAAACCUUUUGAUCAACCGGUUCACCAUCUUUGGUCAAAUCAAGAUGUCCACUAGUAGGCAUGGGUGUAGACAUACCUUUGCAUUCUUGCAUAUUGAACUUCUUGAAUAAGUCUUUGGUGUACUUCGUUUGAGAGACAAAAGUACCUUCCUUAGUUUGCUUGAUUUGUAACCCAAGAAAGAAUUUGAGUUCACUCAUCAUUGACAUCUCAAACUUCUCUGACAUUUGCUUUUCGAACUUAUCACUAAAAUGAGGGUUAGUUGAUCCAAAUAUAAUGUCAUUGACAUAAAUUUGGCAUACAAAUAAUUCUCCAUUAACCCUUUUAGUAAAAAGUGUAGAAUCAAUUUUUCCAAUUUCAAAGCCUUUCUCAAUAAGGAACCUUGUUAAGCAUUUAUACCAAGCUCUAGGAGCUUGUUUAAGACCAUAAAGAGCUUUGCGAAGUUUGUAAACAUGAUUAGGUUUCUUAGGAUUGAUAAAGCCGGGAGGUUAUUUAACAUAAACUUCCUCCUCUAUUUCACCAUUUAGAAAAGCACUUUUGAUGUCCAUUUGGUACACGGUGAUAUCAUGGUAAUUAGCAUAGGCAAGUAAUAUGCGAAUGGAUUCAAGUCUAGCAACGGGAGCAUAAGUCUCACCAUAGUCCAUACCUUCGACUUGUGUGUAGCCUUGGGCGACGAGACGUGCUUUGUUGCGAACUACUUGUCCAUCUUCAUCUUGCUUGUUGCGAAACACCCAUUUGGUACCGAUGAUGUUGUGGUUGUUGUCGGGCUUCUCAACCAAUGUCCAAACUUGAUUUCUCUCAAAGUUGUGUAGCUCCUCAUGCAUAGCAUUUAUCCAAUCCGGAUCUUCCAAUGCUUCUUCAACCUUCAUAGAUUCAAUGCUAGAGAUGAAUGAAUAGUGUUCACAAAAGUUAGCUAAACGAGUUUUAGAGCGAGUGAUUCUCCCGGUUUGGAUAUCAUUGUAGAUUUGCUCGACGGGAUGGUCUUUAGCAAUUCUUGCUCGAACUCAUGAAGGCUUUUGCUUGGGUCUUGGUUGAACAUCUUCUUCAUCUUGUUCUUCUCCUUCUUGUUCUUCUUCUUCUUGGCCUUCUUCAUUGUUGGCGUUGGCGUUCUCUUGUCGUGGUGGAGAAGGAGGUUGUUGACGUUCUUGGUGUACUUCCUCAUUUUCUUCAUCUUGGUGUCUCCCACUUGUGGAUGCUUCCGUAUCAACUCUUGGUUCNNNNNNNNNNNNNNNNNNNNNNNNNNNNNNNNNNNNNNNNNNNNNNNNNNNNNNNNNNNNNNNNNNNNNNNNNNNNNNNNNNNNNNNNNNNNNNNNNNNNNNNNNNNNNNNNNNNNNNNNNNNNNNNNNNNNNNNNNNNNNNNNNNNNNNNNNNNNNNNNNNNNNNNNNNNNNNNNNNNNNNNNNNNNNNNNNNNNNNNNNNNNNNNNNNNNNNNNNNNNNNNNNNNNNNNNNNNNNNNNNNNNNNNNNNNNNNNNNNNNNNNNNNNNNNNNNNNNNNNNNNNNNNNNNNNNNNNNNNNNNNNNNNNNNNNNNNNNNNNNNNNNNNNNNNNNNAGAUAAGUCUUGGAUUGCUUCCGAGGGGUCUUUGUAUCCUACAUCAAUUGGCAAUUGCUCUACUUGUGAGCCGUUAGAUUCAUCAGACUUCACAUCUACCGUUUCUUCAACCUUCUGGGUGAAAUUUUUGUAGACACAGUAAGUGUGAGAGUUUGAGGCCGUAACCAAGUAGGAAACCUUCAUGAGACUUAGGAGCAAAUUUAGAGCGAUGAUGUUUAUCAAGAAUGUAGCACUUUGAGCCAAAUACUCGAAAGUAUCCAACUUGGGGUUUGUUAUUGGUGAGGAGCUCGUAUGUUGUCUUGCCGAUUAGCUUGUGAAGAUACAAGCGAUUUGUUGCAUGACAAGCUGUCUCAACUGCUUCUGCCCAAAAGUGCUUCGGCGUCUUGUGCUCAUCAAGCAUCGUUCUUGCCAUUUCGAUGAGUGUCCGGUUCUUCCUCUCAACAACUCCAUUUUGUCGAGGUGUGUACGUAGCUGAGAACUCAUGUGAAAUCCCUUCUACGUCAAGGAAGGUGUCCACAUUUGCGUUCUUGAACUCCGUUCCGUUGUUGCUGCGAACCUUCUUGAUGUUCACUUCAAAUUGAUUUUGGGCCUUCCUAGCGAAGUUUUUGAAGAUCUUUUGGACCUGCGAUUUGUCAUCGAGAAAGAACACCCACGUAAAUCUUGAAAAAUCAUCAACUAUAACUAGACCAAAAGAAUUUCCACCGAGACUUUUGUAAGCGUUGGGACCGAACAGACCCAUGUGAAGUAGCUCAAGUGGCCUCCUUGUGGUCAUGAUGUUCUUCACGGGAUGCCUUCCUCCAACCUGUUUACCAGCUUGACAUGCACUGCAAAGUCUAUCCUUAUCAAAUAUGACAUCGUUAACACCAAGGAUAUGAUUUCCUUUAAUAAGCUUGUCAAGAUUUCGCAUGCCAACAUGACCUAAUCGUCUAUGCCAUAACCAACCUUUUGAAGAUUUAGCAAUAAAGCAAGUUCUAGGUUGAGAAUUUUUAGUGAAAUCAACAAUGUAAAGAUCACCUCUACGUAUACCGGUAAAGACCAUUUUAUGAUUGUCUCUACGAAACAUUUGGCAAUCUACUUUAGUAAAUAGGACAUUGAAACCGAAAUCAGCAAGUCUAGAUACUGAAAGUAAGUUGUAUCCAAGAGAUUCGACGAGCAUAAUAUUUUGAAUGGGGCUAUCAUGUGAGAUGGCCACCUUACCGAGGCCAACCACCUUACCCUUUGAGAUGUCAGCGAAAGUGACAUACUUUCGAGGACCAUCAUUUUCGGCAAGCUCAAGAAACAUGUCUGUAUCUCCGGUCAUGUGAUCGGUACAUCCACUGUCAAGAACCCAUUCCUUUCUUCCUGCCAUAUAUCCCCGAAGAUUUGCCAUAAGGCCAAAGUGUCUCAUUGCAUCAUCAAGAUCAAAGUCAUCAUCAUCAUCCUCAUCAUAGUAUCCAUGUUCAACAUCGUCAUGCGGUGGAUCAAUUCCUAGUGAGGGUGAUUCGUUAGUAUGAGUUUGACAAUGAUCUCCUUUAUGAAGUCUAGUAGCUUCAGAAAUAAUAUCGCUAAUAAUUCCAACAUUUCCAUUGGCACGCAUAAGAUUUGUAAGCUCUAAUAGACGAUCACCAAAUAUGGAAUCAUUGGAAUUCAUCUUGCUCAAGGCAAUAGACUUAUGAAGAAUUUCGUCUAGAUUUUUCAAUGAAUAAUUAGGAAAUCGUUCCUCAAGAAAUUUCCAUAUAGUGUAGGCACACUCAAGAGUAGGCAAGUUUCCAAUCAAGUUUCUAGGAAAGCCUCUGGUGAUAAGAUUAACAGUUCUAACAUUCCUAAUCAUGUCAAUUGACUCAUCAAGGGUAGGAUGCAUGGGAUCAACAUGAGGUGCACAAGGGCUAGCAAUGUACUUGUUCAAAUGAUAUUGAUUGAAAAUCACAAGCAUCUCAUUUUUCGACUCAUGAAAAUACUCUUCAUCAAGUAUAGGCACUCUAUGUCUAAGACUCCCCAAAGUAGACUCAUCCAUCUUCCUUCAAUGGUGAUUAAACCAAAGAAAUGGAGACCAAGGCUCUGAUACCAAUUGACAGGAUCGAGAAGAGGUGUCUAGAGGGGGGUGAAUAGACACUAAGUGCUAAAAGUAGCAGUUUUUAGUUUCUCUAAGUUUAAGUGGAGUUUAGGCACAAGUUUAACAAACACAAUACAUAUCAAGCAAGCAUGCAAAGAGUAUAUGAGCAGCGGAAAGUAAAGCAUGCAACUUGCAAGAAUGUAAAGGGGAGGCUUUGGAGUGUUCAAACGCAAUUUGGAGACAUGGUGAUUUUUGAGCCGUGGUUCCGAUAGGUGGUGCUAUCGUACAUCCAUGUUGAUGGAGACUUCAACCCACGAAGGGUAACGACUGCGUGAGUCCAUGGAGGGCUCCACCCAACAAGGGUCCACGAAGAAGCAACCUUGUCUAUCCCACCAUGGUCGUCGCCCACGAAGGACUUGCCUCACUAGCGGUAGAUCUUCAUGAAGUAGGCAAUCUCCUUGCCCUUACAAACUCCUUGGUUCAACUCCACAAUCUUGUUGGAGGCUCCCAAGUGACACCUAGCCAAUCUAGGAGACACCACUCUCCAAGAAGUAACAAAUGGUGUGUUGAUGAUGAACUCCUUGCUCUUGUGCUUCAAAUGAUAGAGAUCAAGAUUCAUAUGGUAGGAACGGAAUAUCUUGGUCUCAAGACAUGAGUAGGUACUUCUCUCUCAGAAAUGGUUAGUUGGAAGUGUAGGUUUGUUCUGAUGGCUCUCUCCACGAAUGAAGAGGAGGUGGAGGGGUAUAUAUAGCCUCCACACAAAAUCUAACCGUUACACACAAUUUACCAAUCUCGGUGGGAUCGAAUUGAGAAACUCGGUCUGACCGAUUCAGUAAAUAAUGUGACCGUUAGGGUUUUCGGUGGGACCGACAUGCAACUCGGUAGGACCGAUAUGGUUAGGGUUAGGGCAUAACAUAAUCUCGGUAAGACCCAUUACACAAACUCGGUGGGACCGAUUUUGGUAAUAAGCUAACCAGAGAGUUGGUCAGGUAAACUCGGUGUGACCGAUUCUCUCAUCUCGGUGGGACUGAAAUGUUACGAAAAGGAAACAGAGAGUUUACAUUGUAAUCUCGGUAGGACCGAUUACACAAACUCGGUGGGACCGAUUUUGGUAAUGGACAUACACAGAGAGAUUACAAUCCAAUCUCCGUGAGACCGAGAUCCCUAUCGGUGAGACCGAUUUGCCUACGGUUUGUGGCAGUGGCUAUGACAUUUGAACUCGAUGGCGCCGGAUAGAAAGAAUCGGUGGGGCCGAGUUGGACUUUAGGUUUAGGUCAUAUGUGGAUGUGGGAAAGCAUUUGAGGGUUUUGGAGCAUAUCACUAAGCACUAUGAAGCAAGAACCUCAUUAAGCAACACCUCAUCCCUCCUUGAUAGUAUUGGCUUUUCCUAUAGACUCAAUCUGAUCUUGGAUCACUAAAAUAUAAAAUGUAGAGUCUUGAGCUUGAAGCUUGAGCCAAUCCUUUUAUCCUUAGCAUCUUGAAGGGGUUCCUCAUCCUUUAGUCCAUGCCACUUCAUUGUUGAACUUAUCUGAAAACAUACUAGGUAAAAGUGUUAGUCCAACAAGAGAUAUGUUGUCAUUAAUUACCAAAAUCACCUAGGGAGCACUUGUGUUUUCAAUCUCCCCCUUUUUGGUAAUUUAUGACAACAUACAUCAAAGCUUUAGAUAGAGGAUAUAAAGAAUAACAAGUAAAGCUUUGGAAAGACAUGUAACUAGCAUAGGCUCCCCCUACAUGUAUGCAAGCAUGUGAAUAUGGUAUAUAGGAGCAUGUGAAUGCAUAAGCAUGACGGAGUAGGCAAUGUGUUACAUGUAUCUUGGCUAUAUGCAUCAGAGCGAAGAAUUUUGGGAAAUGUACCUUCAUGGUCAUGAGUCCUUCUUGCAAACAGUAUGUACAUCAGCAAGAAUUCCUCAUACACAUGACUGUGAUGCAUAUACUCACCUUGUGGUCUUGAGUUGGCUUAGGGUGAAAUGAACCUGUGAAAAAGAGGUUAGAUAACACAGAUGCAUCUACUAGCCAGAGCAAACAAGAAGAAACUACGAGAAUACCAAGACGGGGAUGACAUGUAGAGAGUGAGUACCAGGUACCACAUUGGAUUAGACAUGUCCCCAAAGGUAAAGGUAUACAGUGAAUUUAAAGAUUUCCUUUCCCUUAUGUAUUGCUCCCCCUGAAUCUAGCAUGGGAUACUGGGAGAAAAUAGGGAACAGAAAAUCAGAGCUCAAGGAAGUAAAUGAACAGAGCUAAUGCACGUAUGAACAUGUCUUUCCCCUCUAGAAGACAUGUAACAUCUCUCCUCUUGAACACCAAGCAUCUGGGAUCAUUGAAGAUUACCCUCCCCUUGAGUAUUCUCUCCCCCUAGAGAUAUGAACUCUCUCUAGAUAAAGUUUUAAUGUGAUCUCUCUCUCCCCCUUUGACAUCAAUUUCCAAGAAGGGGCUUCUGGAUUUGUUGUCACAUGGGUUUUGUCCUUGAGUCAUAGGUCAAAGCAGCAAAAAGGAAAAAAUAUGAUGCAGCUAGAGGACAAGAUUCAUUGAGUGGAGCUCGAUCAAAAGAAUCACACAAAUAAGUGGCAAGUUGUUUUUCUCUGUAGUGAGAUCGGUGGCACCGAGUUGUAUUCUUCGGUAGCACCGAAAGGUUUCGGUGGGACCGAAAAUAAUAGGCCGGUGUGACCGAGUUCAUGAUAGAGAAAACAUUUGUCACCUCUGCUCACUUAGACAAGUAAGAUCUCACAAGGAUUUGCAAUGAAUUGGAUGCAGGGAAUGCAAAACAGACAGUAAACAAGAAGAAACUUAAAAGAAAUAUAGAUGAAGAAGUUUUUUUGAAAGGGGAAACAAAUAUGCGUGAUACAAAUGCAAGAGCACAGAAAAGAACAUGAGAGAACUUCAUCUAGAAUUGGUCGGCGACAAAGUAACCUAUGUUAGAGUAUAUUGACUUAGGAGUCAAGUGAGAUCACUUGAUCAUAGGUCAUACUCAUCGUUUAAGCUCAAAAUGGGGUUACCAUUUUUUGUUUAAACAUCUUGAUGUAUUCACAUCUUGUCGAGUUGCUUUGACUCAUGUCUUGGAGUAAAGCUUCUCUAAGAUGGAAUAACAUACCUUGGGUGGUGGGUUUGAUCGUGAUCAUGUAGUUGAACUUGUGUGGGUUGCUCAAGGUUGAUGUAGCUCAUCAAGAGUUGGGAGCACCACUUGAAAUUUGAGUCCAUUCACCUACAUGGGUUAGUUUUUGCAAGGAGGAGCACUUGUGUAUCCAAAAUGACAAACAUGAAACUAAAUAAUGAAUUUGUCAAAGGAUAUGCUUGAAUGGAUUUUUGGUUCCUCGUUUUCAACCACCCUUAUGUAGAGACUUGGUGAUGUAGAGAUUGCUCAAGAUGUGAGUGAGUUGCAAUCCCAUAGAUUUAGAUCCAUCCAAGUUCCUACAAGGGUUAGAUGACAUGCAAGAUGCAAAUAUAUCCAAGAUGUAAUAUUAUCAUCAUAAGAGAAAUAUCAAUCAUUAAUCAUAGGCUCAUGUCUUGCAUGUAUCAAGUGGAGUUUCUACUCCAAGUUUGAAGCAUCAAUGAUGUUCAAUUCACCUCUCAAACUGCAAAACACUUUAUCAUCAAGAGGUUUAGUGAAAAUAUCCGCUAAUUGUUUUCGGUGCGAACAUGCUUAAGAUUAAUGUCCCCUUUGGCAACAUGAUCUCGAAUGAAAUGAUGACGAACUUCAAUAUGCUUAGUUCGCGAAUGUUGCACGGGAUUGUGAGCAAUCUUGAUAGAACUUUCAUUGUCGCAGAGUAAUGGAACAUGUUUCACAUAUAUCCCAUAAUCUUUAAGAGUUUGGGUCAUCCAAAGAAAUUGAGCACAACAUGAAUCAGCGGCAAUGUCUUCCGCUUCGGCGGUGGAUAAGGAUACCGAGUUUUGUUUCUUGGAAGACCAAGACACAAGAGAUCUACCAAGGAAUUGACAAGUACCGAAGUGGACUUUCUAUCAACCUUGUCACCGGCAUCGUCCGAGUCGGAGUAGCCAACAAGAUUGAAAGAGGCCCUCUUAGGAUACCAAAUACCAAAAUUUUGUGUAUGAAUUAAAUAUCUCACUAUCCUUUUCACGGCCUUAAGGUGACAUUCUUUCGGUGCAGCUUGAUAUCGUGCACACAUGCACACACUUAGCAUAAUAUCGGGACGUGAAGCACAUAGGUAUAACAAUGAACCAAUCAUAGAGCGAUAAACCUUUUGAUCAAUCGGUUCACCAUCUUUUGUUAAAUCAAGAUGUCCACUAGUAGGCAUGGGUGUAGACAUACCUUUUGCAUUCUUGCAUAUUGAACUUAUUGAAUAAGUCUUUGGUGUACUUCGUUUGAGAGACAAAAGUACCUUCCUUAGUUUGCUUGAUUUGCAACCCAAGAAAGAAUUUGAGUUCACUCAUCAUUGACAUCUCAAACUUCUCCGACAUUAGCUUUCCAAACUUCUCACUAAAAUGAGGGUUAGUUUAUCCAAAUAUAAUGUCAUCAACAUAAAUUUGGCAUACAAAAAAUUCUCCAUUAACCCUUUUAGUAAAAAGUGUAGAAUCAAUGUUUCCAAUUUCAAAGCCUUUUUCUAUAAGUAACUUGGUUAAGCAUUUAUACCAAGCUCUAGGAGCUUGUUUAAGACCAUAAAGAGCUUUGCGAAGUUUGUAAACAUGAUUAGGUUUCUUAGGAUUGAUAAAGCUGGGAGGUAGUUUAACAUAAACUUCCUCCUCUAUUUCACCAUUUAGAAAAGCACUUUUGAUGUCCAUUUGGUACAAGGUGAUAUUAUGGUGAUUAGCAUAGGCAAGUACUAUACGAAUGGAUUCAAGUCUAGCAGUGGGAGCAUAAGUCUCACCAUAGUCCAUACCUUCUACUUGUGUGUAGCCUUGGGCGACGAGACGUGCUUUGUUGCGAACUACUUGUCCAUCUUCAUCUUGCUUAUUGCGAAACACCCAUUUGGUACCGAUGCUGUUGUGGUUGUUAUCGAGCUUCUCAACCAAUGUCCAAACUUGAUUUCUCUCAAAGUUGUGUAGCUCCUCAUGCAUAGCAUUUAUCCAAUCCGGAUCUUCCAAUGCUUCUUCAACCUUCAUAGGUUCAAUGCUAGAGAUGAAUGAAUAUUGUUCACAAAAGUUAGCUAAACGAGUUUUAGAGCGAGUGAUUCUCCCGGUUUGGAUAUCAUUGUAGAUUUGCUCGACGGGAUGGUCUUUAGAAAUUCUUGCUCGAACUCGUGAAAGCUUUUGCUUGGGUCUUGGUUGAACAUCUUCUUCAUCUUGUUCUUCUUCUUCUUUGCCUUCUUCAUUGUUGGCGUUGUCGUUCUCUUGUCGUGGUGGAGAAGGAGGUUGUUGGCGUUCUUGGUGUACUUUCUCGUUUUCUUCAUCUUGGUGUCUCCCACUUGUGGAUGCUUCCGUAUCAACUCUUGGUUCACCUUGUCGUGAGGUAGAAGCUUCCACUUGGACAGACGAGUUACUCUCCUUCACCUCCAUUGGCGAAUCUUGCCAAUAGAUAAGUCUUGGAUUGCUUCCGAGGGGUCUUUGUUUCCUACAUCAAUUGGCAAUUGCUCUACUUGUGAUCCGUUAGAUCCAUCAAACUUCACAUCUACUGUUUCUUCAACCUUCCGGGUGAAAUUGUUGUAGACACGGUAAGUGUGAGAGUUUGAGCCGUAACCAAGUUGGAAACCUUCAUGAGACUUAGGAGCAAAUUUAGAGCAACGAUGCUUAUCAAGAAUGUAGCACUUUGAGCCAAAUACUCGAAAGUAUCCAACUUGGGGUUUGUUACCGGUGAGGAGCUCGUAUGCCGUCUUACCGAGUAGCUUGUGAAGAUACAAGUGAUUUGUUGCAUGACAAGCUGUCUCAACCGCUUCUGGCCAAAAGUGCUUUGGCGUCUUGUACUCAUCAAGCAUCGUUUUUUCCAUUUCGAUGAGCGUACGGUUCUUCCUCUCAACAACUUCAUUUUGUUGAGAUGUGUACGUAGCCGAGAACUCAUGUGAAAUCCCUUCUUCGUCAAGAAAGGUGUCCACAUUUGCAUUCUUGAACUCCGUUCCGUUGUCGCUGCGAACCUUCUUGAUCUUCACUUCAAAUUGAUUUUGGGCCUUCCUAGCGAAGUUUUUGAAGAUCUUUUGGAGAUGUGAUUUGUCAUCGAGAAAGAACACCCACGUAAAUCUUGAAAAAUCAUCAACUAUAACUAGACCAAAAUAAUUUCCACCGAGACUUUUGUAAGCGUUGGGACCGAAGAGAUCCAUGUGAAGUAGCUUAAGUGGCCUCCUUGUGGUCAUGAUGUUCUUCACGGAAUGCCUUCCUCCAACCUGUUUACCAGCUUGGCACGCACUGCAGAGUCUAUCCUUAUCAAAUAUGACAUCGUUAACACCAAGGAUAUGAUUUCCUUUAAUAAGCUUGUCAAGAUUUCGCAUGCCAACAUGACCUAAUCGUCUAUGCCAUAACCAACCUUUUGAAGAUUUAGCAAUAAAGCAAGUUCUAGGUUGAGCCUUUUUAGUGAAAUCAACAAUGUAAAGAUCACCUCUACGUAUACUGGUAAAGACCGUUUUAUGAUUGUCUCUACGAAACACUUGGCAAUCUACUUCAGUAUAUAGGACAUUGAAACCGAAAUCAGCAAGUCUAGAUACUGAAAGUAAGUUGUAGCCAAGAGAUUCGACGAGCAUAAUAUUUUGAAUGGGGCUAUCAUGUGAGAUGGCCACCUUACCGAGUCCAACCAUCUUACCCUUUGAGUUGUCACCAAAAGUGCCAUACUUUCGAGGACCGUCAUUUUUGGCAAGCUCACGAAACAUGUCUGUAUCUCCGGUCAUGUGAUCGGUACAUCCACUAUCAAGAACCCAUUCCUUUCCGCCUGCCAUAUAUCCCCGAAGAUUUGCCAUAAGACCAAAGUGUCUCAUUGCAUCAUCAAGAUCAAAGUCAUCAUCAUCAUCCUCAUCAUAGUAUCCAUGUUCAACAUCAUCAUGCGGUGGAUCAAUUCCUAGUGAGGGUGAUUCGUUAGUAUGAGUUUGACAAUGAUCUCCUUUAUGAAGUCUAGUAGCUUCGGAAAUAAUACCGCUAAUAAUUCCAACAUUGCCUUUGGCACGCAUAAGAUUUGUAAGCUCAAAUAGACAAUCACCAAACAUGGAAUCAUUGGAAUUCAUCUUGCUCAAGGCAAUAGACUUAUGAAGAAUUUCGUCUAGAUUUUUCAAUGAAUAAUUAGGAAAUCGUUCUUCGAGAAAUUUCCAUAUAGGGUAGGGACACUCAAGGGUAGGCAAGUUUCCAAUCAAGUUUCUAGGCAAGCCUCUGGUGAUAAGAUUAACAGUUCUAACAUUCCUAAUCAUGUCAACUGACUCAUCAAGGGUAGGAUGCAUGGGAUCAACAUGAGGUGCACAAGGGCUAGCAAUGUACUUGUUCAAAUGAUAUUGAUUGAAAAUCACAAGCAUCUCAUUUUUCCACUCAUGAAAGUACUCUUCAUCAAGUAUAGGCACUCUAUGUCUAAGACUCCCCAAAGUAGACUCAUCCAUGUUCCUCCAAUGGUGAUUAAACCAAAGUAAUGAAGACCAAGGCUCUGAUACCAAUUGAGAGGAUCGAGAAGAGGUGUCUAGAGGGGGGUGAUUAGACACUAAGUGCUAAAAGUAGCAGUUUUUAGUUUCUCUAAGUUUAAGUGGAGUUUAGGCACAAGUUUAACAAACACAAUACAUAUCAAGCAAGCAUGCAAAGAGUAUAUGAGCAGCACAAAGUAAAGCAUGCAACUUGAAAGAAUGUAAAGUGAAUGGUUUGGAGUGUUCAAACGCAAUUUGGAGACACGGUGAUUUUUGAGCCGUGGUUCUGAUAGGUUGUGCUAUCGUACAUCCAUGUUGAUGGAGACUUCAACCCACGAAGGGUAACGGCUGCACGAGUCCAUGGAGGGCUCCACCCAAGAAGGGUCCACGAAGAAGCAACCUUGUCUAUCCCACCAUGGUCGUCACCCACAAAGUACUUGCCUCACUAGCGGUAGAUCUUCACGAAGUAGGCGAUCUCCUUGCCCUUACAAACUCCUUGGUUCAACUCCACAAUCUUGUCGGUGGCUCCCAAGUGACACCUAGCCAAUCUAGGAGACAACACUCUCCAAGAAGUAACAAAUGGUGUGUUGAUGAUGAACUCCUUGCUCUUGUGCUUCAAAUGAUAGUAUCCCCAACACUCAACUCUCUCUCACAGGAUUUGGAUUUGGUGGAAAGAAGAUUUGAGUGGAAAGCAACUUGGGGAAGGCUAGAGAUCAAAGUUCAUAUGGUAGGAAUGGAAUAUCUUGGUCUCAACACAUGAGUAGGUACUUCUCUCUCAGAAAUGGUAAGUUGGAAGUGUAGGUUUGUUCUGAUGGCUCUCUCCAUGAAUGAAGAGGAGGUGGACGGGUAUAUAUAGCCUCCACACAAAAUCUAACCGUUGCACACAGUUUACCAAUCUCGGUGGGACCGAAUUGAGAAACUCGGUCUGACCAAUUCAGUAAAUAAUGUGACCGUUAGGGUUUUCGGUGGGACCGACAUGCAACUCGGUAGGACCGAUAUGGUUAGGGUUAGGGCAUAACGUAAUCUCGGUAAGACCGAUUACAAAACUCAGUGGGAUCGAUUUUGGUAAUAAGCUAACCAGAGAGUUGGUCAGGUAAACUUGGUGUGACCGAUUCUCUCAAUCUCGGUGGGACCGAAACGUUACAAAAAGGAAAGAGAGAGUUUACAUUGUAAUCUCGGUAGGACCGAUUACACAAACUCGGUGGGACCAAUUUUGGUAAUGGACAUACACGGCGAGAUUGCAAUCCCAUCUCGGUGAGACCGAGAUCCCUAUCGGUGAGACUGAUUUGCCUAGGGUUUGUGGCAGUGGCUAUGACAUCUGAACUUGGUGGCGCCAGAUAGAAAGAAUUGGUGGGGCCGAGUUGGACUUUAGGUUUAGGUCAUAUGUGGAUGUGGGAAAGCAGUUGAGGGUUUUGGAGCAUAUCACUAAGCACUAUGAAGCAAGAACCUCAUUAGGCAACACCUCAUCCCUCCUUGAUAGUAUUGACUUUUCCUAUAGACUCAAUGUGAUCUUGGAUCACUAAAUAUAAAAUGUAGAGUCUUGAGCUUGAAGCUUGAGCCAAUCCUUUUAUCUUUAGCAUCUUGAAGGGGUUCCUCAUCCUUUAGUCCAUGCCACUUCAUUGUUAAACUUAUCUGAAAACAUACUAGGUAAAAGUGUUAGUCCAACAAGAGAUAUGUUGUCAUUAAUUACCAAAAUCACCUAGGGAGCACUUGUGCUUUCAUGCAUGCGGCUAUUUGAAUGUCUAUACCCUUUGCAUGCGGUUAUUUGAUCGUGGGGACUUAAAAAAAUGAGGAAAUUCAGAUGUAUGCGGCUAUGGUUGGAUGGCGUCCUCCCACAUCCGUGUCCGCGGACUGGUCCCCCUAUCCGCGGACGGAUGCGGGGGGACAUUUGCGGGUUGCCAUUGGAUAUGCCCUUAGAAGUGGGGAAGUGCUCGACUACCACCACCGUCUUCAUCACUCAUGUGUUGUCACCACCAAUUUCCACGCCCCCAGCAGAUACAUGCGAUGUGAGACCACCGCUGCACAACCAUCCCUAUGCGUCAAGUCGUCAUCCAUAUUUUGCAUCUCUGCGCCGAAGUCAGCCACCAGAUCUGGAGAGACGGACCCUCACAAAGUCCUUUCUAUGGCAACAUCAAUCCCCAACGAGUCUGCCGCCGGCUACAGGAGUGGCCACCACAAGGACCGACACCGCUGGCGGAGCACACAUCAUGGACUACGACCUCGCUGGAGAGAACUCUAGACGCGUCGGUCCUGGUGCCAAUAUGGCUGGAUCUGGAGCACGAAAGGUUGAUCACGAUCGCCAACGUACGUCCGCAUGGAGCACAACUGUCGCUAGAUCAGGAGCGCACAGUCCAGAUCGGCGCCGUGUCUCCUCACCGAAGCACUAUGCCUCCCUGAGCAUGCCCGCCCGAGCCAACGCGAGAAUCCAGAGAGGGGCCCGACCACCAAAUGGGACAAGCAGAUGCAGCCCCGCUACAACCACCGUCCCAUGACAUGUGGAGAACCAGCCGACCAGCGGGCAGGCAUCCACGGCAGCCUGAAGGAAGUGGCUGAAAGGAUCGAUAUAGUUGACUAGAGGGGGGUGAAUAGGCAACUAGCAAUUUUUAGCUUUUCUUUACCAAAUUUAACUUUGCAUCAAAGUAGGUUGUCUAGAUAUGCAACUAGGUGAGCAACCUAUAUGAUGCAACAACAAUAAGCACACAAGCAAGCAAGGAUAGAGCACAAUAAAGCUUGCACAAGUAAAGGUGAGAGAUAACCAAAAGGGGAACCGAUGGAGACGAGGAUAUCUUACCGAAGUUCCUUCCUUUUGAGGAGGAGUGCGUCUCCGUUAGAGCGGUCUCGAGGCAUAGUGCUCCCCAAGAAGCCACUAGGGCCACUGUAUUCUCCUCACGCCCUCACACAAUGCGAGAUACCGUGAUUCCACUAUUGGUGCCCUUGGAGACGGCGACCGAACCUUUACAAACAAGGUUAGGGAAAUCUCCACAACUUAAUUGGAGGCUCCCAACGACACCACGAAGCUUCACUACAAUGGACUAUGGCUCCGCGGUGACCUCAACCGUCUAGGGUGCUCAAACACCCAAGAGUAACAAGAUCUGUAAGGGAUUAGUUGAGGGAAUCAAAUUUCUCUUGGUGGAAGUGUAGAUCGGGGCCUUCUCAACCAAUCCAUAGAAAAUCAACAAGUUUGAUUGGCUAGGAAGAGAGAUCGGGCGAAAGUGGAGCUUGGAGCAACAAUGGAGCUUGGGGAUGGAAGAGGUGAGUCUUCUUGGAGAAGAAGACCCCUUUAUAUAGUGGGGGGACACAUCCAACUGUUAUGCAGCCCGCGGCCCACAUUUGGACGGUACUACCAUUGCAGGAGCGGUAGUACCCUGCCAUAGCGGUACUAUCGCUGUGGCAAGCAGGCAUAAGGCAACCAGGGCUGAGGGAGAAGAAGUACACGCACUAGGGCGGUACUACCGCUGAUAAGCGGUACUGCCGCUCCCUACAGCUGCUGGAAAACAGGGGAGGGCAGCGAGCUGAGUGGCAGUUGGAGCGGACAUAGGAGCGGUACUACCGCUGAUAAGCGGUACUACCGCAACCUACUGCCGUUCCUACUACCGCUCCCCUGCAUGGUCAUUUAUGGAAACCCGACACAAAAAAUCAAGACCACAGCAGGGGCGGUAGUACCAGCGGCACUAACAAGCGGUACUACCGCCAAUAGGCGGUACUACCGCCCUGGCCGCGGUACUACCGCUUAGCACAUAGCACCCCUUGUUUUGCACAGCACGGAAACUCCAAAGAAGCAGGAAGAAAGAGAGGGUGCAAGGAGAAUGUGAACGUGAUGAUUCCACUCAUACUCUUCCGAAACGGAUCCCCUCUUGAUAGUACGGUUAUCCCUACGACUCAAUUCCACCGAAAAGAAACGAAGGAAAAUAAUCCGUUUAAAGUGAAGUCCUCGAGGGGUAACAAUCGCAUAGUGCCCUUAUAUUAGAUAACCUGAAAAGCUUAAUGCACAUGAUUAGUCCACAAAUGUAUUGUCAUCAAUCACCAAAACAAACCGGGGGAAAUAAUGCCCUAACAUUGGCCCCAGACCAGCCCGUGCUGGCACGCACACGAAGAGGCCCGCCGCCAUCCGCAGUCACCCCAGAUUGGAUUGAUGGCGCAACCCUUUGCACCGGCUAUGCCUAGCAUAACCAUGUAUGCGCCGCCACAAAGAUGCAGAGGACCGCCCCGAUGUCAUGGCCCACACCAUGCGCCCGCGCCACGCCACACCAGCAGAGAACUAGAACCCCGUCGCUACUUUCCUCGGGGCCGCCCCGAGCUUCGCUAGUGGGCGCCCUCCGGCGGCCGCGAGAUGAGGGACAAGGAGGAUAAACUGGCGGCGCAAGGGUUACUACCCCCAAGUCGCGAGAGGAAGGUGACGUGGGGGCGAGUUUUCCCGAUCCGGUUUUUCUGGAGUCCUGACAAAACAUCAAAGGAACAACAAUUUAAAGCAUAGUUAAAGAAUAUAUAUUUGUAUCAAAUAUAUAAAUAUUAUGGUAGAAUACGGUAUCAAAUUUAUAAGAUUAUGUGGCCGAGUAUCUAUUUUUAGCUUGACCUCAAUGAUUCAUGUGGUGCCUAUUUCUAUGGUCAGGUGGUGUGAACGAUAUCAACCUGGUCCGGUCUCGCCAUGUAAAGCUCGUUCACGGAUCAUACAUUGACGUUUGACCUAAUGAAUGAGGCUAAACUAAGGGGGUAUUUGUUUCCAGGGACUUUUUGAUGUAGGGACUAGAAAAAGUCCCUCUUAGAGACUUUUUAACUAAACAGGAGGGACUACCAGGGACUCAAAGUUGUUUUUCGAGACUAAAUGAGGAAGACUCUCAAGAAUAGUUAUUUUUUGGGACUUUUUCAAUAAUACCCCUCCCUGCACCCAUUGCCCCGUUGCCCCAUGAUGUUGUUUGAUUAUUAUUUUUCUGUAUACUAGGGGUAAGAUGGUCAUUUAAUAACCUCUAAGGAGGGACUAGGAAUUUUUUUUGUCCCUGGAAACAAACAGGGAGUAGUUGGGACUACAAAAAAUCUUAGGACUUAUGAACCAAACAGGACCUAAUUCCCGCAAAAAUAGAAGUGGAAUGAAAUCAAAUUAAAUAAUCAUUUCUAGCAGGCAACCUGGAUCUGGAUGCAUGCAUCUACAAAUAUAUAUAGUUGCGCUUUUGUACAUUACGUCGUAAUUUAUUGUUAGAUUCUUCGUGUACACGUUCGAUAUCGCCGUGUGUAUUUAUAGUAUUGUGCUAUUUCCAACAACUGAACCUUUGAAAGUAAUCGUCGCGUUGUCAAAGGGGACUCCUGGGCGGGUCUUUAGUUGGUAGUCAAACCUACGAAAUAAUCAAAUAUAUGACGACCAUACAGAAUUCGGCCGUAGCUAGCUAGUCCGGAAAGCUCAUGGGUCCAGAGACGUUGUAGUACCAUGCAACAUGAGUCGUACUCCACAUACGUACAGGGUCCGUUUAGCGAUCAACCUGACAGAGACGUUGCCAUUGACCCCAUGUUUUCGCUAGGUCUGCUAGGUGAUGCAUAUAUUAAGAGCGUAUCCAGCCGUUGGCCCCCAGGCGACUAAAAAAAUCACCGUCUAGGGACGAAUCAGCGCUAAAAUUGACUUGGGGGCGAUUGAGUUCCUAGCCAAUACCCCAGGAUCAGCCCCAGGCGCCUGGUUUUAACCUUUUUUGAACAUUUAUUUGACUAAAAUUCGGCGAACGGGAUAAAUAUUCGACGAAACAGUACAUUAUCUCAGCGAACUGAAAUAUUUUUUAUAUAGAUAAAAUACUUAGAGAAAAAAACAAACAGGCCGCGACUACAGGCCGAAUAACGCGUUGAGAGAGGCGAGGUCGUCGUCGUCCUUCUCCUCCUUCACGCGGACGCCACUGCUGAACCCUUGCCCAGGGUCGCCCUGGCGGACCGGCGGCGGUGGCGCGUCGUCGUCGAGGACGACGACACCUCCCUCGUCACGGCCACGGCGCCAAGCGGCGAACUGCUCAAAGGCGCGGCGUUGGCGCUCCAGCUCCGUUCGCGCCCAGUCUUCGCGCGCCCACUUCAAGGCCGUCGCGUUGUCGAUCCCUGGCUCCGUCUUCACAGCGGCUAGCCCUGGCUCCGUCUUCGGCUUGACGAAGCAGGGAGGAGCCGAGGAGGCGCGCCCGCCCUUGUUGAUGACGAUGUCGGCGCUGCGGGUGUGCCGGCCGAGCGGCGUCUCCGCGGGCUCGGCCUUGACGCUGAACAACGCCGACGAGAUGGAGCAGUGGGAGGAGGAAGAAGAGGAGCCGGCCCUCCUCGGCAUCCAUUGGCCGCCGCUCCGGCGGGGGACCGGGGCGGCAGGGUUCCUCAACGGUGGGUCGUUGCCGCCCUCAAGGUGCUGGAGGACGGCGUGGAGAGUGCGGCCGGGGGCGCCCUACCAGAGGCGGCGGCCCUCAUUGUUCCUGGUCCCCCGAACCACCGGCUCCCCGUUGGUGGAGGCCAGUUGUUACGCCUGCCGGCGCUGGAAGUACGCCGCCCACGCUUCGUGGUUGCCGGCGGCGUACUGUGGGAGGGCCCGUUGCUCCUCCGUCAGUGACGCCCGCACGCGGUCGACCUCGUCGGCGAAGUAGUCGGCGCGCGCGGUGACGUCUUGCAGCGAGGGAAUGGGGACGCCACCGGCGCUGAGCUUCCACCGCCCCGGCGCGCGCAUGUCGGGAGGCGCCGGGGCGUCGGCCUUGAAGAGCAGGUAGGCUUCCCACUCGUGCAACGAGUGGCGGCCGAAGCUAUCGACCGCCGUCCUAUCGCCGAGAAACCUCUCGCCCAUCGUCGCGGCUGGGAAAGGGAAGAGAGGGGAGGAACGUCGGCGGCGUCGGCGCACGAGGAGAGAGCUCGGCAGCUGUGGGCGGGGUGCGGCCACAGGCGAGGCGGAGCCCUGCUUAUAUAGCAGCCGGGGGAUCGACGCCGUGUGUAUGCGUGGCGGGAGGUGGUGCGUCGCCGCGCCCGCGCCGCCCGUGACGAAUCAAUGAAAGGCUGACCGGCGGCAGCCUUGGCAUUGAUUCCCCGCGGGAAACCAAGGCGAUGAGGACGACGAGGCGCGUGGGUCACUGACUCGACGGGCCCACCGUUCUUUCAUGCCAAAACGAUUGCCCCGACGCCCCCCGGCGUGCCUGGUUCGGUCUGGGUCCACCCGCGCCAGUUUCGGUCCAAAGCGACGAAAAACAGGCUCCUGGAUGCGCGACUGGGCCGAUUUUUGCACGCCAGCGCUAAAAAUCGCCUGGGGACCUGUUGGGGUCUCGGCUAGAGAUGCUCUAAGGAUCCUGUUUUUAUAAGGUUGCGCCUUUCCUUCCUUGUUAGCUUCUUGAUCACUGCUCCCUCCGUUUCAUAAUGUAAUGCUUAUAGAUUUUUGCACAAGUCAAACAUUCCAAACUUUGACCAUAUUUAUAGAGAAAAGUAGGUACAUCUAGAAUAUCAAAUGCACAUCAUUGAAUACAUCGUGAGUUAUAUUUUCAGAAUGUACAUGUUUGGUAUUGUAGAUGUAGAUAGUUUUCUCUAUACACUUGGUCAAAGUUGGUAAAGUUUGACUUUCACAAAAAUCUAUAGGCACUACAUUGUGGAAUGGAGGGAGUAUAUUUAUUAAUCAUUACAUCGGUCAAUUUAUUAAUUGUUACAUCGCCUUGACUCAAGUGGUCAUCAGAUCGGCACAUGCGCAAGCAAGCGCAAAGCCACUGAUACGUACAGUACGAACUUGCCGAAGAAGCAGAAGCGUAAGAAAACUGAGAUAUGCAUUCGGUUUUUGCCUCGGUUUCCAACCGGAACCUUUCAUAUUUCAUAGCACGAAAUAAUAAGCUCAGGAAUGGUUGUAUGAUCAGCGCAAACAGAGCCAAUUCGCUCUGGUGUUCCAUGUCGCGAACGAAGCUAUCCCUCGGCUGGAUUGUGCCAAAGAUUCCCGUCUGCUCCCCGGUGAGGAACGCCGUCGCCACAGUUUAUUUAUGUUUUUUAUUGAUUUUUGUUGGGUUCUUUUUAUUUUUCAAGUUUGUUAUUAUUCUUUCUUUCUUUCAAUUACGUGUUUAGUUUUUUAAUAUCAGUUGUAAAUUUUCCAUGUACACGUGGAGCAUAUUUCUAUUUAUGUUUGAACAUUUUUCAAGAUACAAGAUGAACCAUUUUCCCUUUUUUUUAAAUAUACAUUUAAACAUUUUUUUCUUAUACAUGUGAAAUAUUUUUCGAGCACACUUUGAAUAUUUUUUAGGGUACAAAUAUUUUUGUAAAAUUAUCCAAAAUAAUUUUUUGACAAUGUACAAAUAUUUUUUAUAAUGCCACGAACAUAGUUCUGGAAAUGUGAACAUUUCUUAAAAAUUAUAAAUGCAUUUAUUUGAAAGGUAUGGUUUCUUACAAAUAAAAUGAUUUUUCAAAAAAAAAUCACAAAUAUAUUUUUGAUUCAUGUGAGCAUUUUGUAAAAUGACAGAUGCAUUUUUUUUCUAAUGGUAAUAUUUUUAGAAAAAACAUACAUGAGCAAUUUUCUUACAUUGUAUAAAUACUUUUUUAUAUUUCAUGUUUUUUAAAAUGCAUGAACACCAGCACGCAGCCCACCUCGUGCCGCCCUCCACGCCCGCCACUAUGGGAAAAAAGUUUAUAUGAGACCAGGUCUCUCGGUGGUGAGACCCGCCCUGAUGAAUGUCACGUGUCAUCCAUCAGGAUGGGUCUCACCUGCUAACCCGUGAGACCUGGUCUCAUAGAAUUCUUUUCCCCACUAUGGCAGCCCAGCGUUGCCGCGUCCCGCGCCAUGCCGCGUUCCGGCCAGGGUAGAUCGCCCCAUGGCGAUCCAGCCUCGCGAGAAGNNNNNNNNNNNNNNNNNNNNNNNNNNNNNNNNNNNNNNNNNNNNNNNNNNNNNNNNNNNNNNNNNNNNNNNNNNNNNNNNNNNNNNNNNNNNNNNNNNNNNNNNNNNNNNNNNNNNNNNNNNNNNNNNNNNNNNNNNNNNNNNNNNNNNNNNNNNNNNNNNNNGUGACAUUCACAAAUCACAAAGCAUCUAAUCUCUCCCCCCUGAUUUUAGAUGUGGGUGCGGUAGAUGCUUUGUGAUUUGUGAAUGUCACGUGUCAUCCAUCAGGAUGGGUCUCACCUGCUAACCCGUGAGACCUGGUCUCAUAGAAUUCUUUUCCCCACUAUGGCAGCCCAGCGUUGCCGCGUCCCGCGCCAUGCCGCGUUCCGGCCAGGGUAGAUCGCCCCAUGGCGAUCCAGCCUCGCGAGAAGGAGAAAGCGCCCUGCCGCCGCCCAUGCCGGGCGGGCCGCCGGCACGCCCUGGUAGCGGCGAGGGAAGGGAAGGAGGAGGAGGUCGCGGUCUGGCGGCGUCUAGGGUUUCCUCGCCUACCGCCGUGGGAGCACCAGAGGAGGGGUCACUCGUUGGUACAGACUUGAAACUAUAUUUAGUAGUGCAGAUCUUGUUCAGUUCUUACAGGACUGUGGUUAUUUAUAUGGAUCGACUCGAAUUAUCACCCCGAUCAUAUGAUUGGAUGACAUUCGUCACAAUGUGGGGCUGAGGGUAUCAUGGUGUGACGUCCUACCUUUUCUUCAGAGCAUGCGGGCGGUACGUGCCUCUUUUCCGGUCAAAUACCUAGGACUACCACUCUCUGUUUGGCAACUGGAGAAGGUGGAUUUCCAAUACCUUGAGGACAAAGCGGCCGGCAAAUUGGUCACUUGGGAGAGCCAAAACAUCACUACGAUCGGUCGUAUGACACUUGUUAGGUCGGUCAUUACCUCCCAAGCAGUAUUCUCCAUCACGCCCCUCAUCGUGCCUCAGAGCUCUCUCCAUAGCCUUAACAAAAUUGAGAGAGCUUUCCUUUGGUCCGGCUCGGACAAGACAACGGGAGCCAAAUGCAAGGUCAACUGGAAGGUGGUUUGUAGACCAAAAGAAUAUGGUGGCCUCGGGGUGCUGGACACCGACAAGUUUGCACGUGCUUUGCGGCUCCGAUGGCUAUGGUAUGAAUGGACGGAGCCCCGAAGAUUAUGGGUUGGCCUUGGAAACCCGUGCACGGAGGAGGACCUCGAGUUUUUCUAUGCCUCUACGACUAUCACUGUAGGGGAUGGCGCCAAAACGCCUUUUUGGGGCUCGUCGUGGCUUCUUGGUCGCAAACCCAAGGAUAUCGCGCCACUCUUGUUUGCGGCCUCGAGAAGGAAGAAUUGGAAGGUCCGUGAGGCCCUCGUGGGGAACGCUUGGAUCUUCAAGAUCAAUCUGAACACGGACACGGAUGUCUCCAUUGCCCAUAUUAGGGAGUUCUUCACUCUUUGGAUGCCCCUUAAUGACGUCCAUCUUCAUGAGCAAACCGAAGACCUCAUCAUUUGGAAGCAUGCGAACGAUGGGAUCUACACGGCGGCCACCGCAUACAAGCCUCAAUUCCUAGGCAUGACUCUUUCCCUCUUGGAUCGCAUGGUUUGGAAGGCAUGGGCACCUCCAAAGGUUAAGUUUUUUGCUUGGUUGGCGUUGCAAGAUAGGAUUUGGACCGCCGAUCGCUUGGAGCGUCGAGGUUGGCCAAAUUGUGGCCUUUGCAAGCUCUGCAAUAGGGAGCAAGAAUCAGGAGCCCACCUUUUCUUCAAGUGCCGCUACACGAUUCGGCUAUGGAAGUCUCUUAUUGAGAAACUAGGUCUUGCGCACAUGGAUACUUCCGAUUGGCUCAUGGACGACUCUGUCUACCAGUGGUGGGACAAGAGAACCGACAACCGCAACCCUAACCGGCAAGCUAUGGCCUCCCUCAUCAUGCUCGUCUCUUGGACCAUUUGGAAUGAAAGAAAUGCACGAGUGUUCCGCCACAAAAGUGCACCACCGACCAUCCUACUCACCGCCAUCGUCGACGAGGCCAAGCUUUGAAUGGCCGCGGGCGCAAAGAAAUUAGGGAAUUUUUUUCUGGGCGAGUAAUUGUCAUGCCGAAAGUGUGGGUGUGUUGUAAUUCUCUAAACUCUAUUCUCUCCUUAUUUAAUAGAUGAGGCAAAUCUUAUGCCUCCGUUUCGAAAAAAAAAACUGGAAAUUAGCCAAGCGAACUCGUAAAUAGAUAGAGUUUCUCUUGUUUUUUUUUUCAUUUCCUUCAAUGAAUUAAUAAACACGCGUCUGUAUAUUUGUAGUUGCUGGCAAAAUUAGAGUACUUAAAAUUCGCUCUCUGGCAGUUACAUGGUCAGAAGUACAGCGGGUACUGGUGAUGGUAGUAGGAGCUGGGCGGGUAGAAGAAGUACGGCGGCGGGUUCACGGGCUCAGGCACGGCCGGCUUCGGCUCAUCCUUCUUCUUCUCCUCCGGUUUCUUCACUUCCUCCACCUUGACGAUUUGGGCGUGGCCGAGCUUCUUGCGGAGGGAGCAGACAAGGCACACCGGGUCGACGCCGUCGCCGACCACCUCCAGCUGGUCCCUGGCGUCUCCGGUUAUCCCCAUGGACGUCACCCCGGCUGCUUUGGCGGCCAGCGUCAGUGCUUUCGACCGGCUUUUAUCGCACGACAUGCUCAACUGGAUGACAAUCUUUUGCUGCAACAACAAAGAGAAAAACGAUGGAUCAGUUGUAUGCUGCAGCAUCAGACUACUGUAUCGAUGACUCAAAAUUGAGCUGCUAAACGAAGCAACACCAGAAAUCAACAAAAACUAGCUAGGAGCAGAAACUGAAUUGGGUUACUCACCUUCAUUGCUGCUGCUGGGUUGUUAGAUGCCUAGCUGCCAAGGGGAGAUGCUCGUGUUCGAGCGAGGCUAGCUAGAUUGGUUUGAGUAGCUAGUCUGUGAUGAUUUUGUGAAGGCUAUAGCCGCCUGCCCGCCUUAUAUACACGCACGCAGUGGGCGCGGGUGUGGGAGCGGAGAAGUGGAGCUAUGUCAGUAUCAGGAGCGAUCCCAACGCACUAUCCAACGAGCUGUAAGAAGAUUCGUAGCAGCAACGGUGGCAGGCAGCAGUUGAGCUCAGUGAGUAAACAACUGCGCAACUGGGCAAGUACUGUACUAGCCAUACAUGUAAACGCGUCCUCAUCAUAACAAUCUCUCGGUUGAAUAUUCCUGAUCGGCAGGCUACCCAUGGAGAGACAGUAGAGAGUAUCAACUUUUAGCAAGACCUCAUUGAUUUAUGUGGUGCCCUAUUUCUAUGGCCAGGUGGUGUGAACGAUAUCAACGACCUGGUCCGGUCUCGCCAUGUAAAGCUCGUUCACAGGUCAUACGUUAACAUCUGACCUAAUGAAUCAGGUUAAACUAAUUCCCGCAAAAAUAAAAGUGGAAUCAAAUCAAAUUAAUUAAUUAUUUUUAGCAGGUAACCUAGAUCUGGAUGCAUGCAUUGAUAAAUAUAGUUGCGCUUUUGUACAUUUCGUUGUAAUUUAUUGUUAGAUUCUUUGUACACGUUCGAUAUCGCCGUGUGUGUUUAUAUAGUAUAUAUUGUGCUAUUUUCAACAACUGAACCUUGGAAAGUAAUCGUCGUGUUGUCAAAGCUGAAAGGGGACCUUUCAUGGACUCCUGGGCGGGUAUUUAGCCAGUAGUCAAACCUACGAAAUAAUCAAUACAUGAUGACCAUACAGAAUUCGGCCGUAGGCUAGUCCACAGAGCUGAUGGGUCCAGAGACGUUGUACUAGCUAGUAUGCCAUGCAACAUGAGUCGUACGUACAUACCUACAGGGUCAGUUUGGCGAUCAACAUGACAUAGACGUUGUGCCAUUGACCUGCACAAAUAGCCCCAGUAAACCCCAUGUUCUCGCUAUUGUAUGUGCAGGUCUGGUACGUGACACAUAUAUUAAGCAUCCUGUUCUUGUUAUGAUGCGCCUCUCCUCCUUUGUUACUUUGUUAGGUUCUUGCUACUAUCAUUUUUUAAGAUAAGAUCUAUUAUAAAGAUUCAUUGAAAGUAAAAAGCAGUUCAAACAUAAUAAAAAUUAUAUCGAGGUACAUGGAUCACCGAACGACCAUUGUCGUCACCAUAACGAGCCGCCGACGUGUCAUUAUCACCGCUCCCAUACCGAAGCCAGCCUCGCCUUGUCGAUGACGACCGGAAAAUCUUCAAAUCGGCAUAAAUGGUCAUCAGAUCGUUAGUACAUUGGUUUGACAUGAGUGGUCAUUAGAUCGACACAUGCGCAAGCGCAAGGUCACGUGUACGGACUUGCCGAAGAAGCAGUCGACCGAGAAACUAAAAAUGUGUUCUGUUUUUGCCUCAAUUUCCAACUGAAACCUUUCAUAUUUCCUCGAACUAAUUAAUAAACUCAUGAAUGGUUGUGGGAUUAGCCCAAACAGAGCCAAUUCGCUAUGUUAUUCCAAGUCGCGAAUGAAGCUAUAAUUCGGUUGGAUUGCGCCAAAGAUUUUCAUCUGCUAACCGAUGAGGAACGUCGUCUCCACAGUUUCCACAAUGGGAGAUGCUUGGUGCUGGCUUCCCUAUAGAGGAUUGGCCUUCGCUAGCGUGCACGGGUCCAUCAGGAUUCGAAGUACUCCCACAAUCCCACAACUGCAAGCGGUAAAUGCUUUUUUUAGCGAAGCAGUAAAUGCUAGUUUUUAAAGGUGAACUAGGGAUUUAUUCAAGUUUCAUAAUAGAAGGAAUACAAAUGAUGUCUGGAAGGAUCCCUAACCACAUGUGGCAUCCAACAGAGAGCGACGAAGCUGCCUUAGCUAGGGCAUGAGCUUCCAAGUUUGUCUUCCUAUUCUCGAAACGAAAACUAAGUUUUACAAAAUCUUUAGUUCUUUCUCUAAUUUCACUUAAAACUAAAGCAUAAGAAGGAGCAGCAACUCCAUUUAUGUUUGUGACGACCUGCAUGCAGUCCAGCCAAUAACCACAUGUGAUAGAUCAAGAUCUUCAGUGAGGGUCAGCGCUUCAUUGCAUGCUUGAGCUUCGAGACUGGGAGCGUCAACCAAACCAUCAAAAACCACGGCCGAGGGAUCCAAGGUACUGGCCGUCCUUGUCCCUACAAACAGCCGCUGCAGCUCCUUUUCUUCCCUGCCGAGACAUUGCCCCAUCAACGUUUAUCUUGGUUGCUUCCUCUCCUCGAGGCUUCCAAUGAUUAGAUCUAGGUGGUGCUGCUCACGUAUUGCUAGAAUUCCUGGCAGUGGCAAUCUAAAGGUCCUGCAAAUAACGGUUCACAAAAUACAUCAUAGAGAAAGGGCUUUGGAAUUCAUCGUCGUGUAUCGCUUUCCUCUUUGCUCACCAAAUUGCCCACAUGGUGAUGAGCGCCCUCGCGAGGUCCUGCUGGUUCAUCGUCUUGAAAAGCCAGAACAACCAUAAUCGAGCAUCAUUGUUUCUGUUAGACAGCAAGUGUUCCAACACUUCUUCAUCACCCAAAGUCUAGACACAACAUGCCAUGCGACACUCAAACAACGAGUGGCGCCAUGAAUCAGCAUUAGCAUUACAAAUAAAGCACACUGAUGAGGUGGCCAUCUUUCUCUCAUGGCGAUUGUAAUGCUAAUGCUGAUUCAUGGCGCCACUCGUUCCACAAACCAAUCCAGGAUUUGCAAGGACAUUUGCGCCAAUCUCCAUACAAAUGUUCAAAUUUUAUAGGGUACCUUCACCUUCCACAAACUAGUCCAGGAUUUGCUAUCCGCUUCUCUAUUCGAUCGGCCCUGCUUGUGCUCAAGCCACUCCUCCCACCAAUGCUUUAUCCCAUUAAUCAUCUUAUAAGCUGAUUUGACAGAGAAUACACAUCUCCUAUCAUAAUGCCAAGCCCAACAAUCAAGUUGUACCUGUGUACUGAGUGGUAUAUUCAUGAUUACCUUCACAUCUGGAUUGAUAAAAUAUUAGUUGACGCUUAUCUAGCGUGAGGCACACUAAAGCGAGAAGUAGGCCGGCCAAGUAAUAUGAAGUGUACGGUGGAGCUAAAAUCUGGUUUUCUGAAGAUUUUAAAAGUUUCUAUGAGUGAUUCUUUUUCUAUUUUUUUUCUCUUGGUUCUUUCUGAUUUUGUAGUUUUUCUUUUUCUUUUUGUUUGUUUUUUAUUUUCUUAAUUUCUUUUAAUUUUUUCAUUUAAUGAAUUCAUGAUUUUUUUCAACUUCUUGAAUAUUUUUAAAUUAGUAUAAUAAUUUGUCAAAAUUAGGAAUCUUUAUCAAAUUUGUGAACUUUUCUUUAAAUUCUUGAACUUUUUUGAAAUGCACGGAGUUUUAUCAAAUACAUGUUUGUUUUUCAUACCGGCAAAUAUUUUUUAUCUUCUAAUUCACUAAGUUUUUUUUAAAUGUACUAACCUUUUUCAAAUCAAUGAUUUUUUUAAAAGAUUGUGAACUUUUCCUAGAUCUGCCGACAUUUUCAAAUUUUUUUUAAAAAAUUUAGAAGUUUUCUUCAUUAUAUAUUUUUAUAAAUUUUUGUGCUUUUAAGAUUUUACCAUGUAAUUUUUUAAAUGCGUAAAAAAACUGCUACGAGCGAGCAGUGGCUAGCGCCAAGAACCAACCAGACACCAAAAUUUAAUGGGUCGCAGCCCCGCUUCCAAGUGCGCGAGCGCCAAACGCUUUAAGCGCUGAAUACGCACUCUCAGCAUCUGUUCCCCGCCAUUGCUUUGUCUCCCUUAUUGCCACACGUAGCUCCGCGAGAGCUAUAUCUCGCUUAGUCCAAGACUAGCUUCUGUCUCGCUAUAGGAUUUCCCGUGCUAUCUACAGUAACAGCCGGCCUGUUUCUGCGCGCUCACAGCUCGUUCGCUCGCUGUGUUUUGUUCGGUUUUAUCGAUUUCCUUCUUUUUUUUGUCCUUUUUUUUGUCUCUUCAUGGUUUGUUAUGUUUUUUGUUUCUCCAUAGAGUUUUUCAUUUUUUUUCUUUUAUUCUGUUUUUUACUAUUUUUUCUUUUUCCCUGUUUUUAGUUUUUCUUUAGUUUCUUUCUUCAUUUUUAUUUGUUUUCCUUUUCUAUUUACUAGUAAGCAUGUACGUGUAACACACGUCUCGAUUAUGAAACAGAAAUAUUUCUAUCAUAAUUCAAAUUUAAAUCAUAAAGACGUGUUGAUGUUUUAUGAACCAAUGUGCCCCUUGUCCAAAUAGGGCAAUCGCAGUCAGCGAUCGAAACGUGCACGCCGUUGGAUUUACCUGACUACCCUUGCUUCGGUACUCCACAGCACCACUUGUUGUGCCACUCCACAUGUUGUUGUCACCAGUCCUAAUUCCUACACUCAAAUAAUCACUUGUUAUUCAGGGCAUAAAGUUGUCAUUGUAUCCAUGAUUGAAUUAAAUUUGAGGUAUAAUAUUUCCAAUCAAGAAAAUACAUCUUCAAUCUUAUUGUCAAUGAGCACCGGAAAUGUUGACACUGUUGUACCCUGCAGUACAUAGCUUCAUGUAGCAAGACGUAAAACGUUGGCAUUGUUCUCGAUGAAUUUGCUAAUAAAAUUUAACAUUCAAGUAGGUAUAAGCGUGUAAGCCACGCGGAACCAUUCUUUGAGGCAAUCAACAUUGCUUCAAAGCAAAAGAAAUUGACAAAUGAAAGAACACAUCAACGUAGAACCAUGACAGGUUAUCUCUGCAUAAUAAUACUAACAAACUUCGUAAACACGUAAGAAAAAAGUACAGUCAUGAACCAUGGUGCAUAUAUAUAGCAAUGUCUGAAUUAAGAUGAUGAGCAUUACAACAGGGGGAGAUCAUUGACCUUAAAUCUCUUACAUAUGAACAUGUCUUCUCUAAAUGUAAGCCAUGGCUGAGAAGCAAGCCGGAUCCGGAUAUUCAGUAACUAAAGCCAGAAACUUAUCCACCUCUUCAUAUUUAAACAACAUAUUUCUUC